UCAGCUGCUGCAUCUGUGGUUUUCUCAGCCACUGCUUCUUCAGUUACUGGAGCUGAUUCAUCUGCUACAGGGACAGCUUUCUCUGUUUCUGGUUCCUCGACAGGGGCUGCUUCGAGUUCAGCCUCCGCGACAGGGGCUGCAACCUCUUCAACAGGAGCCGCAACUGGUUCCUCAGCUGCUGGCUCCUCUGUUUCUAUGGCUGCAGGUUCUGCUGCAGCCACAGGUUCUUCAGCAGCAGGGGCUGCUUCCUCAGCGGGAGCAGGCUCUUCUACUGGUGCUGCUGCUGAUUCGACGACGGAUUCGCUUUCUACAACUGGGGUUGGUUCCUCUACUUUGGUUUCCUCUGGGGUUGUUUUUACCUCAACCUCAGCUGGAGCAGUCUCUACUGCUGCUACUGGUGCAGAUUCAACCUUCAGACAAAAUUUGAAACAAUUAGUUGGGAAUAUGUUACCGUCAUGUUAGUAUGUUUAUUUUAGUUCCUACAUUUACUAGGAAUCUUUAUAUUCGAUCGCCGAUUUAUAUGACAAGUAGAAAAUAUAGAGAACUUAAAUGAAGUGACAUAGUUAGUGAAGAUUUAGCUGAUCCUAACUUGCUUGGGGUUGACGUGUAGUAGUAAUUAUGUUGUUUUGAAUUCUUGAUAUCAAACUAUGGUCAUAAAAAAGCUCUGAUCACUGACCUUCUCAAGAUAUUUCAUUAUAAAACCUUUAUCCAAGAAUGAUCUAAUAAUAUUUUCAAGAUAUAAAAUGUAUUGAUCAACCAUUAGAUUUUAUUCACUUCAUCAGAUUGUGUAAAAUGUAAAUCUUGAAAAGGGCACUGAUCAGUUGAAGAACAGGUUAGCUAACUGAUCUUGAUCAGUUUUAAGUUUUCAUUUAGAAAGAAAGGAAGAAAAAAAUUGCAAAAUAACAUUACUAUAAAAGUACCUCAACGCUGGCCAUUGGAAAUUGAAGGAAUAAAGUUGAAACUAAGAAGAUGGGAAGAGAAGAAAAAUAAUGAAAUGGAGGGGGUCUUAGGAAGAAAAGGUGGCCAAAGUGUUUCUAAUUGUGAUUGGUGAUGAAAAAGGAUCAAAUGAGAGAGCAAUAUAUAGAGAAGUAAAAUCGACUGUAUUAAUUAAAAUAAUGGAAAGAAAAGAAUCUUGAGGGAUAUACAAAUUCACAUCUCACAUCACUGACAUAAAAGGGUGACCAAAAAUAUUAGGAUGUCUAGUUGUAAAUGUAUUUACUUUACUUUAUGCUUACAAAAAAAUUAAUAUUAAAAUCCAAUCAAGUCGAGGUCGGUUGUAUAAAUUCUCAUUGUAUGUUAUAUCCCAAAUGUAUUCUGCAUUUUAAAGAUGCAUUAUAAAUUAAUUAAUUUCAUGUUGAUUAUCGAUAUACCGUAAUUUACCUCUUUCAUUCAAAUUGAAAACGAUGAUAUUAAUAAGUUACAUAAAUAAUAAUUACGCUUCAAUCUUAAAUAAGUUGGAGUUGAUUUCGUCAUAAAUUGACAAAUUUUGCGCUGACCUCCAACUUAUCACAACUCUCAUCUUUUAUCCGAGCUUGAAACCGGCAAUAUAAGCAAGCUCACAUCCGCUAUUUGAGAUUUUCCAACACAACUUUUUUCUUUUUGCUAAUUGAUUUUCAAGAUGAGGAGCUUUUUCUUUGGUAAGAUUAUUAUUAAUUAUUUAUUAAAUCAUUUAUUAGUUUGUUUAAAGGCAUUUGUUUGAUUGGGAAAAGGCAAAGUCACAUGGUGGUGGAGGCCAUUUCCUAUAAACAGCUAUGAUAUCUUUUUUCUUGAGUGGUUUCUUCUGUGUUUUGUGCAGUAGGGCACGUAGGUGACUAAGACUAUAUAUCAUGCUUUCAUGUUCUAAUAAUUUUUAAAAAUAAUAUUUUUCUUUUUCUGUUCCAGCUUCUUCUUUUUUUAAUUACUAUUUUGUUAACUCUAGAUCUUCACAACAAAAUCUCUUGGUUUAAGGGAAUGAAUCUAAUUGCUAAUUCAUGCAUAUACUCAUACAAAAUGACUCAGCUUUAUUCUAAUUUUAAUAUAUGUAUUUAUUGGAUCCUGUAAACUAUUGAUACUAUAUUACUUUAUCAUACAAAUUACCACCAAGAUUUUGACAAAGUAGUGACAGAGUAAAUACAUCACUAAUUACUAAAUUAAACAUUUAUGAAAAGUAAAAUGAAAAGAUUAAGCUAACAGGUUGGCAGUUAAAAUGCAAAGACAUCAAAUUUUAAGGCAACCAUAGAGUGAAUAAGCUUUUAGUUUUAUACGUUAACACGAGAAUAAAAAAUAUUCAACUUGAUAAUAUUUACGCCCUCUAUUUCAUUUUAUGCCACAUUAUUUUUUUAUUAGUCCAUUAAAAAAAAUAUUUUUACAUUUAAGAUAAAUUUAACUUUAUAUUUUUUAUUUACCAUUAAAUGAGAAGCUUUUAUCGACACAUAAAUAUUAUAACAUGUUCAAAACACAAGUUUCAAAAUACUUUUUUUCAUUUUUAAAUUUUGUAACGAGUCCAACUAUGUCACAUAACUUGAAACUAUCAAUAUUAAGUAAUGGAAACCAGGAGCAGAACUAGAGUAUUAGAUACGGGUUCGAACAAAACUGUUAAUAUUAAUUAAAUAUAUAUAAAUAUUUGAAUGCAAGCUCAGUAAUUAAAACUAGUUGUGAGUUCGAUAAUAAGUUCAUAAUCCAUAAAUUUUAAAUAUUGACUCCCGACACUGUAUUCAAAUUAUGUUUUUUCUGUCGGCGUGGCACAGUUUUUAUUUACACUAAAAUAUAUUGUGCGUAACAUAAGAUUUCACCAGAUAUUUUCCUUAGCUAGUAAUGUUGAGUAAAAUGUUUUUUACGAGAGUGGUCAAAGAUGAGAAUGUUUAGGAAUUUGAAAAAAAUAGCCAACUUGAUUUUCUUUCUGAUUUGUGGACAAAUGGAUAUGAACGUAAAGGCCAAAAUAAUAGUGAAGGGCCGGUGCCGAAUUGGACCCCACUAUCACAAAAUACGAUCAUAAAACGUCCAAAUGGGUCCCAUACCACAGCAAAAAUCUGACGUGGCACAUUCCUUUUUGGAAAAAUGAUAAUGUAUAGCUGCGGUAAAAAUAAUAGCCAAAAUUAUAUAUUUUUUGUAUAUAUAUAUAUUUUUUAUAUUAUAUACAAAAAUUAUAUAAAUUUUAUAUAUUUUUUCAGCUAUUAAAUAUAAAUAGUUUCUGAUUCGGAUUAAAAGAGAUAAUAUCUCAUUCUUUUUCGAUCCAUGUCAUCCCACAUACUUUUGGGCUUUCUCUGAAUGGGCCCUACUUUAAUAUGUUUAAUAGGGCCUUGUGGGACCAUACCUAAGCCUUGAGAUGCUUUCCAGGUACUACACCUCGUGCUUUGGGUCCCACUAGCAUGAUUUCGCCACGCUGGAGUUGUGUCAUCCGCCACUCUAUCACGGAUUGUAAUUAAGUGGUAAGUACUUGUUUAUUCGAACGAAAAUAUUUAUAAAAGAACUGACAAAUUUUAAGAGGAAAGUAGUAUGGUAAGCAAAGAAGCCCUAAUCGACUUCUCGGAUUUGUCUCUGGGACUACGUUAACGUUAAGUUUAAAUACGGAUAUCAUAUGAACUAGUAUUAUACUUAUAUGUAAAUUCGCCUAAUAUAUCCCGUGCACCUCUUCUUCCUAAGCUUGUCAGCUAAGAAGACGAAUUCUUUCUCUCUGAUCCUGCCUCGUCGACCUGCCUUUCGUCACGGUCGUCACACUAAUCCAAUAAGUGUUCGCUAAAAGUGAAAUUUUUUAAGUUUAAACUUUAUUUAUUAGCAUAAAUUAUACGAACAAAUGUUGUUACCGAAAUGAUGUUAGACAUGCUGACACAUUUCUGAAUAGAAAAAGUAGGCAGUACUAUUUGAUAUUGUCCUUAACUAUGAUUGACAUUGAUACCAGUACAAAAGAGAAUAUAUAGCACAUUAAAUUUGAUUUUAUAAUUUCUCAAGCUAGAGUUUCUAAUAAAGAAUUUCAUCAAAAGCCUGUUGUUUCAACUACUAUUAAGUACAUUUUUAUCACUUAAAAUGCAUUAUAAUUCUUAUUAUUAAGAUCGCAAAACAGUCAAUAAACACUAAAUUUUGGACUAUAGCAGUGGGGGGGGGGGGGGGGGACAAGGCAAGAGUCGUCAUCAGAAUAUACAUCUCGAAUUAGAGUGCACAAAGCGUAGUCAAGAAUGUAUUAAUUAGUGCUAAUACUUAUAUUAUCCCUAUAAACUAAGGUUAUUUUAAGACUUUUGGUUGAUUUAGAUUGCUUAAAGUCAUACAUGAUUUAAUAAUCAGAGGUGGAACCAGAAUUUGAAAUUAUUGCGUUCAGGAUUCUAGCCUUUUAUGUUAUUGGAUUUUAAAGUAGGAAUUUGUCCUUAUUUAGUGGAUUUUUUAAGACAUAUAUAAGGCUUACACUAAAGCUAUUGGGUUCGGUCGAACCCGGUACCGAAGCUCUAGCUUUGCACCUGUUAACAAUUUAAAUACACCUUAAUUAUAUGAAAGUUUAUAUGUUUUGUAAGAAAAAUACGAGACUAGUGAAGAUUCUUUCCGAUAAGAAGCUUAGCUGUAUUAUUAUGUACGAUACAUGUUACUCUGUAAAGGUAUAAAAAGAUAGAACGAAUUACUGAUAACAUUUUUAUUACUAUUUUUUUGCCGAUUCAUAUACAAAUAGAGGGACCCAUUUAGGAAUUUUAAUACAUUGACUGUGGCAAAACCAAGUUGGUAUAUAUCCACGUAAAUUGUUUAAAGAUGGGAUAUAAAGUGUGAUGGCUCUUUUGUUUGGCUACUUUCCUUUGAAUACUUUGAUAUUCUUUUAAUCCCACUAUAAUAAUUUUAUAUGUAAUCUUCUAAUUGACAUCUUAAUUACAGGGCUUCCAUAGUCCAUACUCUUUAUCCCACAAAAAGAAGAUACAAUUUUUAGUAGAAAAAUAGAAACAUGUAGGGCGCGUUUUAUCCCUUUAUGCUAUUUCAGGCACAAACUAAAAUUAUUUGUUAGUGAAUUUUGUAUAUCGAAUGAUUAAAUUUAUAAUAGUUGAAAUUACUAACAAUCCUUUGUUAAAGUAACUCUGUAAAGGAAAGUAAAUAAUGCUAAUAUGUUUUUUAAAAUUUCAACAUAUCAAUAAUACUCAUACUGAAUAAUCAGUUGCAAUUUGAAUGUUGCAGUUUGAAUAGAAGAAAAAAAAUUAUGUGUUUUAUAUUAUCUAUCUCCUGUGUCUUAACAUGAAAUCUUUUUUGGAACAUUUGUAAUAAGUCAGAAAACUGAUAAACUCGAGAUUUUGACACUUUGCAAGUGUGAUAUAUUUAUAUAACAGUUCAAGAGUAAGUAAUAUGAUAGUAUAGAACUUUAAGAUUUAAGUUAUUAUUAUUGUUAUUAUUAUUAUUAUUAUUAUUAUUAUUAUUAUUAUUAUUAUUAUUAUUAUUAUUAUUAUUAUUAUUAUUAUUAUUAUUAUUAUUAUUAUUACCAAUUACUUGGAUAAUAAAGAAUACAAACCCUUCAAAAAAUUAUUAGAUCUUUGUCAGGAUUUUACAAUCAUGAAUGUCUUAAUCAAUUUUAUUGUCUUAGAAAAAGUAAUUCGAAUAUCUACACUAUUAACAUGUUAGUAUUGUUGAAACGAACAUACUCACAUGACUUUUUGUCCACCUCUCUAUAGUAUAUAGUAAGUUAUUUUUUUCGAUUUUUCACCCGAUGACCUUGUACUGGAAUUGUACUAUUUAUAUAGUAGAAAAUUGAUAUCUUAUUUAUCACGAGCCAGUCACUUGAGUUACACUACUAGCACAAUUAAAGUGUUUAUUUGUAGAAGACUAACGAUUAAGAUCAGUAAGUUAGCUAGCUAUUGUGUAUUCUAUGUUAUAUUUUUCAAAAUUCACUGUAGUGAUUCAGAUUUAACUAUCAAAAUAUUGUUUCUUUGAUCCAACAUUUAAGGUCUUAUGAUUUUGUUCAUUUGAACUUCAACUCAAACCCUAAGGCAUUUUUACUAUUAAAUUCUGAACUCGUCCUUAUUUCCAUCCCCCUUCGUUUUGAUAUGGAAUUUAUCUUAGGAAAUCUUCACGACGAACAUACCUUUUGAGUUCAAUCGCUAGUAGGUUGUUACAUUAAGCGCUCUACUUUAAUAUUGAAUCCGACCUAUAUUUUUCCUUCAUUUUUUGUACAAGAUAUAGCUCCUAGUUUUUUUUUUCCCCCUAAAAGUACAUUAGUAAAAAUAUAUUUAAGGAUGUGGGAACCCAUCUCCAAGGUUUUCCAAUCCUGUCCAAGUCGUUUUUUUCCUCUUAGUUUCUUUUGUUUUGCUGCGACAAACUUGCGUAACGUGUGUUUCUUCUUUUUUUGCUUUUGAUUUCUUUCGUAUUAUUUUUCUUUUUUGGACACAUCUCAUUAUAUCCUUUUCAAUAAUAAUGGUGCAUUCCGCAUUUCUUCUUCCUCCAAAACAUUUGAGAAUCUUGAUAUUCCUCACCUCAUUUAUUUUUUAUCGGUAACAUAGAAAAUUAAAUAAAAUUUACCGCCAUAGUCCAUAUACAUCACUCAGAAUCUUGAUAUUUCUCACUUUCAGUUCUAGGCAAAGAUGAAAAAGGAAUUACACAAUUUGAUCAUUUAUAAAAUAAUUACAAGCAUUUUUUAUGAUAAGAAUUAAUUUAUAAACUUAAUAGAGUAAUAAGUAAUACGUUAUAAUCGGUUAAAUUAUAUUGAUCAUAAAAAAGAUUUUGCAUUAUCGGUAUAUAUUUUAUACGCUCUUUGUGGACAUGAAGUGAGAAAUCAACCCUCACUCGUUGGCAAUCGCAAGACAAUUCUCUUGACAUGCAAUACUUACAUAUAAUAACAAGAUUCCCUCAAAACGACAGCUAUUAGUUCUGUUUUGUUUAAUCAUCGUAAGCAUCAGGUUUGUCGGCUUCUAAUCUUUCAUUAUAACUAAAAUAGGUUCUCGGUGCACAAAGCAUUUCGCGAUGGGUCUUGAAAAAGUCACCCUCUUUAGGCUAAUUUUUAUGGCUCAAACAAUACUUGACUAGUGGCAGAACCACAAAAUUACAAUGGGGUAUCAAAAUAUAAAAAGGUAAAACACAUGCACGAAGAAUAUAAGGGGAAUCAGUAUACUUUCUUACGAAGGGGUGUAAAUACCCCUUAGCAUAACUGUUUACCCUCAAAAUCGGAUAACAAUUGAAUUUAUAAGUGAUUUUAAGAAUACGUGGAUUAACUUUAUACAAAACGAUAAUUUAGAUUGUAAUUUAAAUAAAUAAUGAUAAAAUAAAUACAAACCACACGAAUUGAACAAUCUCAGCCUUGGAAGGUUAAUCACCCUUGAGUUGGACGUACUUCGAUCGGUAUCAAGACACAGAAGAAUAAGAGAUUAAUGAGAAUAAUAAUGUAUUGCUUUGGAAUGCGUGUUACAAUCUCCUUUACAAGUAACCAGACUCCCUUUAUAUAGUAGGGGAGUCCUAUAUUAGUUAUAACUCUAUAAAAGGUAAAAAAUCUCUUGAUUUGUUGAUCGCCGAUUCCUUAUUGAUACGUGCCGAGAUUCCCGCCGUAAUAUCCGACCGGUUACUGAUAUUUCGGUCUUCUGUUAUGCUAACAAUGUUUCUUCGAUGUCGUUUGAACCAGGACCGAUUCCAGAGUCACGGCCUCGGUGUUAUUGAAGGCAGGUGUUUGUUCCCGAUUGCUAACCCGGUGGGGCUUGGGGACGAUCUUCAGUCCUUUAUUGCUAUGUCUCGAGCCCGGCCUAUCAUGUCGGAUGCUAGGGUAUACUACAAGCUCGAUUUUACCUGUAUACAGAUAGUCCCCUCGUUUUUCGGAGAGUAGAUGAUGAGAAACGAUAUGAGCUCCCGAUUCUCACUUCGAUAUACCGUGACAAAAAUGUCAAACUAGUUGAAACGUCCCGUCGGUCUAGUCUUAAUAGAAUUAAAUGCUUGUCAGUUAUCGGUCGGCCACUCCAGAUGUGAACCGUCGUUGGAAAAAUAUAAAUACCCUUCCAUUUGUUCAUUCAAACUUUUCCAUCCAAGCUUUCUGCCCUCGUGUCUAUGAAAUUUCAAUACUUCCAAGCACUUAUAUUCUGGUUCCUUUGAGAUCUUUUAUAAGAACUCUUAUUGGUCUUCAUCCCAAACCAUCAAGUGUACUCUUUUAACUUCUUCUUUUCCCUCAUUUUUUCUCCAUAUUUAUAAGAAAUGGCGAAGACUUCAAAAUCCGUUCCCCAAAAAGAAACUCUUUCUACCUCGCGGUCGGCUACCGAUGAUAAUGUCUCACGUACUACUAUCGAGGAACAGGUACCGGAACCUCCUCUGAAAAUGUUCAUCCCCGGGGGGUGCCCGGUCAAUGUUGAUUUUAAAGUCGAAAAGCCCUCCUCCGUACCAGGCCGGUACGAGGAGGUCUCGAGAUACAUCUGCUCGGUCACCGAGGAUAUUUUCUCAGAAGUCAAAAAGAAUUGCAACUGGGUUGACAAACAUAUGGUGAUUCCCGAACCUGACGAAUCCAUUACCACCCACGUCGAGGGAUUUUUAAGUGUUUUCACUUAUCCCUUCAUGCCGGGCCCCUUGGACCCGGUUAUCAUCAACUUUUGCAAAAGAUACGAGGUAACUCUCGGUCAAAUUCACCCUUAUUUCUGGAUAAUCGUAAUCCUCCACCGUUUCUUUGUAAGCAAGAUCGAAGUGUACCCCUUCACUAUCGACCGCCUCAUGAUUUAUACAAUCCCCGACUCUAUCGGGGAGAUUGAUCAAGCUCGCCCGUCGGGCCAGUAAAGCCCUGUUCUCGAGUAUCGAUGAAGAUCGGGAUCGAGGUUGGCUAGGCCGUUUCGUCCGAGUGAGGACUUCAGACUUGAUCCCGUCCGAGCACAUGUCGUUCCAUGAGAAGUGGAACAUGUCAUGUAAGUAUAAUUUUGCUUCCAAGAUUUAAUUUAUCGCUUUUUUCCUUUAUUCUUAUCGGUGUUCUGUGGUGGUGCAGUUGUUGUUCGGAUCCCGAAUGCAGUUCUUCGACUCAAGGAGUGAGUCGAGGGCAUCGUAUUACAAAGUUCUUAUUCCGAGCAUUCGUGGCGCGAGCUUUCAAAGGGCCGAUGGGAGGCCCGUUCGCAGGGUGAGAUCUCUUUCAUGAGCAAUAUUUGGUUUCCCUUUUGCAUCAUUAAGUUCUCACUAGUUUCUUUCCUUUUGCAGGUUUAUCCAAGGAUGUCAAAAUAAGGGCCCUAUCCGGUAGCGAUGAUUUCCCUACCGAGUCCCCUGCUCCAAGACAGGGUGAAGAGAAGAAAAGAAAAGGGGCUUCGAGUUCUUUGAGCUCGGAGAAAAAGAAGCCAAGGAGAAGGUUGGUGCGUAAAUCCAAAGAAAGCACCAGUGCUCGAGCACCAUCUCCGGAUUCACUCUAUCGACUGAGUGAUGAAUCCAAAGGAGAAGGAGAAGCCUUCGAUCUGAUGGCCAUGGUGCCGUCGCGGCACAAAGUUAGGGAGGUCGAAGAGGAGGUCAGGACCGAAUCUUCUCGGGAUAUGGGAAAUACCCCGAAGGAAGCACUAAGUGUGAUAGAGAUCACCGAGCCACCCCCGUUUACUGAGUCCAUGAACAACGAGGCCCAAAUAGCUAAAGGACGCCCCAUUGAGGGAGACCAUGGAGCGGACGACCCCUUCCUUGGGUUUUUUGACGGAGUGGACUCUACGGCCACGGAGGACGUCACCGGGUUAGGUGACUUAGAGAUACCGAGGAAGAGCCCAUCUUAGGGAGCAAAUGGACCUUCCUCGAGCCCCAAACUGGUCAAUCCAUUCCCUACUCUCAGUAUGGAUCCUGGACGGAAGCGAUCCAUUGUUAUCUCCCUUCCGGAGGAUGCCCGAGUCCUCUCCGCCUCCGUAGGGGUGGCCAAUUAUCUUCGGUGUCUGGUGACUGAGGAUGAUUAGGCUAAGAUGAACGAGGUGGAUGCACCUCAGUUGUUCAAUGAAGCACAACAUGCGUUAAACUGGGAUUUUGUCUUUGUGCUUGUAGGCCUCGGUGUUUCACCAUGAGAUUUUUCUGCGAUAUCGGGAUGAGCUGAAACAGCUCAAAGCCGAGGUCCUUGGGCUCACUGAGAAGAGAAAUGCUUAUAAACUUCUUAGCGAGCAGUUUGAAGGGGAGGCUAAGAGCUUCCGAGCUGAGCUGGAGGUUGCUCGGAAGGAUCAUGCCAACCUGACCGAGCAGGUAAACAUAUUUGAGGUUAGUGAUGAUGGACUAGGUUUGGUGACUGAUGAUCGAAAUCUGCAGGUCCAACAGAAUAUCGAUCGAAUCGAUCAUCUCCGAGCCGAGAUAGAUGCAAUUAAGGCCAAGACCGAAGAAUGGAGAGGCAGAAUGGACUGUCUGGCCUCGAAAAAAAUGUUGCUCGGGCACAACUGACUUCUGCUGAGGUCCGGCUUCGAGCGAUAAAGGAAAAGGCCGAGGUGCAGGCCAAAAAGGUUGAAAAGAUCCAGUCUCAACUAAGUUCGGUCGCCUCUAAUCGAGAAUUUAUGGCCAAGGAGAUUGAAACAGCCAAGUCAGCGGCCGUGGUGGUCUAAGACGAAGUCAACGAGAUGGUGGCCCAAUAUAAGGCCGAUGCCGAGGCGGCCAGGACCGCUUGAAUGACUUUGUUGAAUAUGAGAAGUGGCAGUCACAAAGAGAGGCCCUCGAAGAGAUUCAAGCUCAGGGUUUGGAUCUGUCGGCCGAGAUCAAAAUCGCUAAGGGGCUCGAGGCCGAGGCCAAGAAGUUGGCUUACCCCGAGGAAGAAGAGAAAGAAGACUCUGAGGGUCCCGGUGGAUCCGGGGGUGGAGAAGACAGGCUAUUUAGACGCCUUUGUAGAUGUUUUUGCUUUUUUUAUUUUUUGUACUUGUGUAUUUUUGUAUUUUUUGUCAAGUCCGUUUGGCCUUUCUAAAGACUUUAUGUAUAUAUAAUACAAGGCUUCCUUUUUCCUUCGAAAAGUUUUGAGUUUUGUGUUUCUUUGCUUUAUUCUUAUAUGUUUGCAAAGAUCGAAAUGCCUUAGCAUGAACUAGUUAGGUCAUGUUCAGAGGUUUGAACAUGCCUUAUCUUUGACAUUAUUUUGUCUAAGGCAUCGUGGGGGGUUCGGUAUUACCCGAACGUUUCCCCAAAGCACUUAUAAUUUUUUUUAUUAUAGUUUGCUGAGGGUAGCCUUUAGAACCGAUUUAGAAAUUUUUUAAGGCCUUGUUUUUUUAUUACGGGUCACGGACGUCUCCGUGCCGUUUUAAUAUGGCUGUAGCCUUUUAGUUCGGGUGUUGCCCAGUGGGCUUGUCACCUCAAGUUAUCCAGGCUUGCCUAAGAUAACAGUCCCCGAAUGGGGAUGGCCGUAGCCUUUAAGGUUCAGGCGUUGCCUAAUAGGUCUUGUGCCCCCGGGCUCCCUCAGCCCGAGCCGUCCGAGUUUGUUUUUGGACGACAAUCCCCGAUUGGGAAUGAUUGUUUGAAACCAGAUAACGGUGGCCCUUGGGCUCGAUAUCUUUAGGGGAUCGAAUGUAGGAAAUUCCUUAAAAGGAAAGAAAAAAGAGAAAUUCUUAAGGGAUAAGAUAUUUAUCCGCAAGGUUGAGACUUCUUUUUAUUCUUGUGCGUAAUAGUUAUACAUAUGUACAAGCUUUGUGCCAGGGCUCGAGCAGUCUAUGCGGGCACGGUUCAUUUAACUGUUUGGCCCUUAUAGUAAAUUCUAUCGAUCGAGCCUAGACCAUUCAGUCAUAAAGUUUCUUUCUUUGCUAAAGUCGUUCUCCGAGAGUAAUGCCCCCUAGUGUUCGGGGCCGAUCGUAGAGAGGCCUCGAAUACUGUUAUCGUGAUCUUCGAUACCGGUUCAUAACCGGCCUUCAAUUAUAAUUUAGAAUAAUUUACUGUUGCCUCGUUAUAAACCUUGCCGAAAAGCCCAUUUGGGACAAAACUGAUUCAAGGGAAAAAGAGUGCAACGCGUGCUUUUAGGCCUAAAAAUUGUAUCGCUCCUUGUUUGUUACCUGCAACUAUUAGUUCAAAAUAAAAGAAAUGAAUGGGGUCGUACCUUAGCAGUUAAUAUCGUUUCAAGUGAGUUAUAUUCCAGUUGUUCGAUAGUUGCUUGUCGUUCAGUGCUCCGAGUUUGUAGGACCCUUUUUCGGUGAUCUCGAUAAUUUGAUAUGGACCUUCCCAGUUCGAUCCCAACUUCCCUUCGUUCGGGUUUCAGAAGUUUAGUGUAACCUUUCUUAAUACCAAGCCCCCGAUAUCGUGUCAAAGGUUGGCCCUUCGAUUAUAAUAUCUCUCGAUUCGCUGCUUUUAGGCGACCAUUCGGACAAGGGAGGUUUCGCGCCUUUCAUCUAAUAUAUCCAGGCUUGUAUUCAUGGCCUCGUCGUUUGAUUCCCUGGUUGCAUUCGAAACCUGAGACUUAAUUCUCUGACUUUGACCGGUAUUAUAAUUUCGGUGUCAUAAACCAGUGAGAAUGGGGUGGCCCUGGUACUGGACUUCGAGGUCAUACGGUAUGCCCAUAAGACUUCGGGCAGGAUUUUCUUCCAUUUUACUUUGGCGUCAGUUAACCACUUUUUGAGAUUCUGGAGUAUAGUUUUGUUGGUCGAUUCUGCUUGUCCAUUCCUACUAGGGUGAUAGGGUGUUGAUAGGAUCCUUUUGAUCUUGUGGUCUUCGAGAAACUUGUUUACUUUGCUGCCGAUGAAUUAUUUCUCGUUGUCACACACGAUCUCGGCCGGCAUUCCGAACCGGCGUAUGAUGUGGUCUCAUAUGAAGUCGAUGACCUCCUUCUCCCUGACCUUCUCGUAUGUCUAGGCUUUCACCCACUUAGAAAAAUAGUCAGUCAUAAACAAUAUGAAUUGAGCCUUACAAGGUGCCCAUGGAAGGGGGCCAACGAUGUUCAUUCCCCACUUCAUGAAUGGCCAUGGUGACAGAACCGAAUGCAACAGCUCCCCGGGUUGAUGAAUCAUUGGAGCAUGUCUUUGACAUUCGUCACAUUUUCGUUAGAACUCCUUCCCGUCUUUUUUCAUAUCGAUCCAGUAAUAGCCAGCUCUGGUUACUUUUUGAAAUAAUGAUUCGGUGCCUAAAUGCUUUCCACAGGUGCCUUCGUGGAUUUCCCUCAUAACGUACUCGGUGUCUCCCAGUGCUAGACAUAUCACGAGCGGGUCAUCGAAUAUUCUUCUGAAUAGGGCCCUCGAUUCUUUUGGAUUCGAGGGCAGUUUUCCGGUCUUUAGAUAUCCUAUAUAUUUGUUUCUUCAGUCCCAAGUUAGGCUCGUUAGGUUAAUCUCAGCAUGGCCUUCUUUCACUACUGAUCUCACAAGUUGUACGACUGCCCCCGAAUUGAACUCGUCGUCCUCGACCGAUGACCCUAAGUUAGCAAGGGCAUCGGCCUCACUGUUUUAAUCCCGAGGUAUAUGUUGCAAAGUCCAUUCUUUGAACCGAUGUGAUGUUACCUGCAACUUAUCCUGGUACCUUUGCAUUCGUUAUUCUCUAACCUCGAACGUCCUAUUAACUUGGUUCACCACGAGGAGGGAGUCGCACUUGGCUUCGAUCACCUCUGCCCCAAGCUUUUGGCUAGUUCGAGACCUGCAAUCAUGGUCUCAUAUUCGGAAUUGUUGUUAGUCAAUUUCAUAGUCCUAAUAGAUAGUCUAACUAUAUUUCCUGUUGGUGGCUUCAACACGAUGCUAAGUCCGGACCCUUUUGCAUUCAAGGCGCUGUCCGUAAAGAGGAUCCAGAUCCACGAAGAUGUCCCCGAGUUCACCAACAACUCUCUUUCGACCUCGGGUAUUAGGGCCGGCGUAAAGUUGGCCACGAAGUCCGCCAAUAUUUGAGAUUUAAUGGUGGUCCAGGGUUGAUAUUGAAUAUCGUACCCGCUGUUCUCCAUGGCCCAUUUGGCCUAUCAUCCCGAGAGUUAAGGUUUAUGAAUUAUAUUUCGCAAUGGGUAAGUAGUCACAACACAUAUAGGAUGACAUUGAAAAUAUGGUUUCAGCUUCCUAGAGGCGCUUAGCAAAGCAAACGCCAAUUUUUCUAGGUGAGGGUACCUAGUUUCGGCCUCACCUAGAGUUCUGCUAACAUAGUAAAUGGGAAAUUGUGUACAUUGCUCUUCCCGGACCAGGACUCCACUUAUCGCUAUCUCCGAUACUGCCAAGUACAGGUAUAGUUGUUCGUCUGUCUUCAGCGUGUGAAGUAUGGGUGGGCUCGAUAGAUAUCGCUUGAGUUCCUUCAAGUCCUGUUGGCACUCCGGGGUCCAUGAGAAGUUAUUAUUCUUCUUCAAUAGUGAGAAGAAUCAGUGGCUCUUAUGGGAGGACCUCGAGAUGAAUCGCCCUAGGGUGGCUAUGCUCCCGAUUAAUCUUUGCACGACCUUUAUGUUGUCCACAACCGUGAUAUCUUCGAUGGCUUUGAUCUUGUCGGGGUUGAUAUCGAUUACCCGGUUGGAUACCAUGAAUCCAAGGAAUUUACCUGACCCAACUCCAAACGCACAUGGGUUCAACUUCAUAUUGUAUUUCUUUAAUAUGUUGAAGGUUUCCUGCAAAUGUUCUAAAUGGUCCUCUCCUCGCAGAGACUUAACCAACACAUCGUCAAUGUAAACCUCCAUUGAUUUUCCUAUUUGUUCCUCGAACAUCCGGUUUACUAGGUGUUGGUAAGUGGCCCUGGCAUUUUUUAAUCCGAAUGGUAUCAUGUUAUAGCAAUAUGUGUCGCAUUUAGUGAUGAAUGAGGUUUUUUCCUGAUCACCCGGGUUCAUCCGUAUUUGGUUGUACCCGGAGUAGGCAUCGAGAAAAUUGAGGAUCUUGUGGCCGGCCGUGGCAUCAAUCAUGCGAUCGAUGUUGGGCAAAGGUAAGGAGUCUUUGAGACAUUCCCUAUUCAAAUCCUUAUAGUCUACACACAUUCUCAAUUUAUUCCCUUUUUAGGGACUACCAUUACGUUCGCUAACCAAUCUGGGUAUUUAACCUCCCGAAUGGACCCUAUUUUAAGGAGUUUAGAUACCUCAUCCUUUAUGAAAGCAUGUUUGACCUCGGACUGGGGCCUCCUCUUCUGCUUGACCGGAUGGAACUUCGGGUCCAGGUUUAGCUUGUGAGUGGUUAUUUCUGGCGGGUUCCCUGUAAUAUCAAGGUGGGACCAAGCGAAACAACCUAUGUUACCUAUAAGAAAUUGAAUGAGUUUUUUUCUGAACUCAGGACUUAACCCCAUGCCCAGGUAUACCUUCCGGUCGGGUAGAUGCUCGAUCAAUAUGACCUGUUCCAUCUCCUCGACUAUCGAUUUAGUGGUGUCGGCAUCAUCGGGGGCUAUAAAAGACCCGGGAACCCCGUAAUCAUCGUCUUCAUCAUUCCCCUAUUUCUAAGGUUGGGUGAGGGUUGGUGUCGGUAAUUGCUAUUUAGCUUCUUGCUUUGUGACUGAACUCAGACCCUUUAUCGUUGCAAGUGCGGAUAUCGAAAUUGCCUCUUCGACUGCAAACAUCUCCUUUGCGACUGGCUGUUCUCCGUAGAUUGUUUUAAUCCCACCUGGUGUUGGGAAUUUUAACACUUGGUGUAGAGUCAAGGGAACUGCCCUCUUGUUGUGGAUCCAUGGCCUCCCAAACAAAGUGUUGUACCUAAUGCCUCAUUCGAUUACAUAAAACUUAGCUUCCUUGAUGGUCCCGGCGGUAUUCACCGGUAAUGUUAUCUCCCCCUUAGUGGUUUCACAUGCCAUGUUGAAACCGUUUAGAAAGCGGACUGCAUACACGAUUUGAUCUUGUAGACCGAGCUGCUCCAUGAUCCUCGAUCGGAUGAUGUUGGCCGAGCUACCUGGGUCAAUUAACACAUGCUUAACUCGAUAUUUAUUUAUGAGUACAGAUAUUACCAGUGCAUCAUUGUGGGGCUGCAUGAUCCCUUCCGCGUCUUCAUCGUUAAAAGACAAGGUUCCUUCCGGUAUGUAAUCUCGAGUCUAUUUUUCCCUCGUGAUGGAUACUUUGGUGCGCUUCAACAUCGGCCCCUGAGGGGCAUCGACCCCACCGAUGAUCAUGUUAAUGACGUGUUGAGGUUCUUCUUGUUCAGUCUGUUUGUUAGAAUCCAUAUUCCUGAAAUGAUUCUUGGCUCGGUCGCUCAGGAAUUCUCGAAGAUGCCCGUUGUUGAAUAGUCGGGCUACUUCCUCUCUCAACUGUCGGCAAUCCUCCGUUCUGUGGCCGUGAGUACCGUGAUAUUUACACAUCUAGUUAGGAUCCCUUUGGGUUGGAACAGAAUGUAGAGGUCGAGGUCAUUUGGUGUCCUUGAUGCGUCCGAUAGCUGAUACAAUGGCGGCAACAUCGAUGUUAAAUUUAUAAUCCGAUAACCUCGCUGCUUCCUUAGGCCCGAUAGGCCUGUCGAAACCGUUCUUGCCCAUGAUUCCCCUGGUUAUUUUGACAUCGAUCACUUCUCCUUUCACUUCUUAUGGGAUUUCUCCCAGAUCCGUUACCUCUUUGAUCCCUGCUUAAUCUCGGUUCACGAUCAAUGUCUCUCUUGGCUCUAUCGACGGCUCUGACGGGAUAAACGGACCCCGAAGGGGCCCCAAAUUGAUCAUCCUCGACUCUGAUUUUCUAUUGAUACCGGUUAUGUACGGCGGCCCAAGUAACAGUCGGAUAUUCUAUCGGGUUUUGUUUCAACUGCUGUGAAGCCACCGAGCUUCGAACAUUGAGUCUGUGGGUGAAAUCUUGAACGGCCCAAUCAUCCGCAAUCGGGGUUAAGUCCAUUCUCUCCAUUUGAAAUUGGGACACAAAUUCUCUGAGCAUUUCAUUAUACCGCUAUUUUACUUUGAAUAGGUCAGACUUCCUGGUCUCGACCUUGAUAGCUCUGACAUGUGCUUUUACGAAGGAAUUUGCAAGCACAACAAACGAGUCAAUAGAAUUAGGAUGUAGGUUAUGGUACCAUAUCAUGGCUCCCUUUGACAAGGUCUCUCCGAACUUCUUCAACAAGACAGACUCGAUCUCAUCAUCCUCCAAGUCGUUCCCUUUUAUUGCACAUGUGUAGGAGGUUACAUGCUCAUUUGGGUCGGUCAUUCCGUUGUACUUAGAAAUCUCGAGCAUGCGAAACUUCUUAGGGAUCGGCUUUGGAGCCGCACUCGGAGGAAAAUAUUUUUGCACAAACUUCUUGGAAUCCAGGCCUUUCAAUACCGACGGUGCUCCUGGGAUUUGGUCGACCCUAGAAUUGUAGGUUUCCAUCUUUUUGUUAUUAGCUUCGAUGUUCUUCUCCCCUGAUUAUACCCGUUUGGUCAGUUCCUCGAGCAUCUUUAUGAUCUUAGGUUAGUCCCUGAUUCGUUGUCAUUCGACCUCUCUGCAACCGGUUCAUCCCUGUGGGUGAUUUCCCAGGACGGAUCGAGUUCAAUUCUGCUCGGUGCGCGGCUUUGGUUCUAUAACUAAGCUAUUACCGCAUGUUGAGCCUGCAACAUUUCAAAGAUCACCCGUAGACUGAUCCCGUAUCCUCCAAUGUUUUGUGUAUUUUGAGUUGCCGAUCGGGUUCUACCACGGACGCUAUUCUCGGGGUCGGUAGGCAGGUUUGUGUCGAUAGCCACAUGUGAAUUAGCGUCGAUUUGGUCUACGACCGGAAUUCCGAUGGGAUCAACGGGCGGUACCUCGUCAACGGGCGCUAUGUUGUUAUUUUUGCCGUGAUGACCUAUAACAACCCGAAAAGGUUUGAAGUACUUAAGUGUAAAGCUCGAUAAAUUUUGCAAAGAAAUAAUGUUUCAUGGUGCCGGACUAGGCUUACGUGGCUCAGACUUUUUGGGUUGAACAAUGCACGGAAAAGUGAAGGAAUAUUUUUAGCAGAAAAGUGCGUUUAUGCGGUCCAUUAUGCGACCGCAUAAUCACUCUGUGGGCCGCNNNNNNNNNNNNNNNNNNNNNNNNNUGUGCAUUAAUAAUGUUUCGACUUCAAGUCAAGUUCAAACGAAGGCUAUUAUGCCAAAUUUUGUGAAAUAUCUCUAUGCGCCUUAGACUCUAAAUUUUUCACAUGUGUACUACACACCUUGAUUUGAAUUGUAUUUGUUAUUGAUGAUGAUGAUGAUAUUUGAAAUUGAAAUGGUGAGCAGGAAAUACUGAAUAUGGCCAAUGUGCCAAGAUUGAUCUUAUAAUUUUGGCUAUUAUUGCCAAUUAAAUGAAAAGAUGUGAAAGUAAUAUGAAAUGCGAUGAUUGAUAUAAAAAGGUUGAUGUCUCGAUUAAGACAGCCUAGCCGAGCGGGUCGUGAUCGGACACCAUGCCGCACACAUGGUGGUGAUUGUGCUGGAAAUUGUAAUUGAAAUGGUAAUUAUGGUUGAUGUCCCUAAUGGAUAGCCUAGCUGAUCGGGUCGUGAUCGGACUCCGUGUUAAAGACGGUGGUAUUGAUAUUGAGAGAAAUUGUGGUUGAUGUCUCAAAUGAGAUAGCCUAGCCGAUCGGGUCGUGAUCGAACUCCGUGCUAAGAGUAUAGUGGUACUGGUUUUUGUGAAUAUUGGUUUUGUGAGUAAUGGUAUUGUGAAUAAUGGUAUUGUGGACAAUGGUAUAUCGAUACUAAAAUUCUCCCAGUGUGAGAUAUGAAAAUUUAUUUGAACAGUGUCUUGAUCCUAAAUUGAGGUUUGAUGUUGAAUAAAGCUUUCUUUGAUAUUAUGAUAAUCUUGUUUGUAUUAUUUGUCAUUCUAUUGAGAGGAUGUUUAGUUAUACAUACUAGUGCUAUUCGAUAGUACUAGCGUCCCUUUUGCCGGGGGAGUUGCAUCUUUUAAUGGAUGCAGGUGGUUCCACAGUAGGAGAUAUUGGUGAGUGAUAGCAUUGCACCUUCUUUCCAACUGACUUGGUGAGCCCCGCUUCAUUUCGGGGUCAUGAAUCUUUUAUACUUUGUAUUCUGUUUGAGGUAUAGCCGAGGCCUUGUUGCCGGCAUUAUCAUUGUACUCUUCUUUAUCUAUAGAGGCUCCGUAGACAUAGUGUGGGUUGUGUAUUGGUGCUGGGAAAGACAAGCUAUGCUAUGUUGUGGUUGUAUUACUUGUCCAUUUGAGACUUUAAAAAUAGUGAAACUUAUGAUAAGAAAUUGGUAAUUGUAGACAUCACCACUUUAUUGUUUAAUUAAGGAAAACAUAUAUUCUCUUUAUUCAUGAAUGAGUUUGGGUAGAAGGGAUCUAACAGGCUUGCUCGGUCGGGUUCACUCGGUUGAGCCCCGAUCGCGCUCCCCGGUUUUGGGGCGUGACAUGACCGGACUCAUUGUCAAUAUGUAUGGGUACUGAUUGAGAGUUCGAUAUUUUAAAUUUUAACCUGAAUUUAGAGACACUUCAAAGAAUAAGUGUAAAGUAGUGUGUGUUAUGGAGAUUUGUAUCAAAUAACCACUAUUAUCCUUAGCCCCACGGUGGACGCCAAACUGUUUACCCUCAAAAUGGGAUAACAAUUAAAUUUGUAAGUGAUUUUAAGGAUACGUGGAUUAACUUUACACAAAACGAUAAUUUAGAUUGUAAUUUAAAUAAAUAAUGAUAAAAUAAAUGCAAACCACACGAAUUUAACAGUCUCAGCCUUGGAAGGUUAAUCACCCUUGAGCUGGACGUACUUCGAUCGGUAUCAAGACACAGAAGAAUAAGAGAUUAAAGAGAAUAAUAAUGUAUUGCUUUGGAAUGCGUGUUACAAUCUCUUUUACAAGUAACCAGACCCCCUUUAUAUAGUAGGGGAGUCCUACAUUAGUUACAACUCUAUAAAAGGUAAAAAAUCUCUUGAUUUGAUGAUUGUCGGUUCCUUAUUGAUACAUGCCGAGAUUUCCGUCGUAAUAUCCGACCGGUCACAGAUAUUUCGGUGUUCUGUUAUGCUAACAAUGUUUCUUCGAGGUCGUUUGAACCGGGACCGAUUCCGGAGUCACGGCCUCGGUGUUAUCGAAGGCAGGUUUUUGGUCCCGGUUGCUAACCCGGUAGGGCUUGGGGCCAAUCUUCAGUCCUUUAUUGCCAUGUCUCGAGCCCGACAUAUCAUGUCGGAUGCUAGGGUAUACUACGAGCUCGAUUUUACCCGUAUACAAUAAGGUGGCUCCGCCACUUCCCUUGACCUAUAAGUUACAUGUAGACAAAUGUACUAUUGCUCCGAGGCUCCUCUCAAGAGCAACUUUACAAUUACAAAGGCAAAAAGGAACAAAACAUUGAGACAACAUUUAUAUUAUAAAAUAUAUAGUCAAAUCUAAGAAUAGAAAUUCAUAACUUACACGGUAGAUCCUUCGAUAGAUAGGUAGUUAUAUACUUCGAAAAUGAAAGAUUUUUUUUUUCGUUAACAAACUUACUUUAAUAUGGAUUCUGUUUCAACAUCAGAGAAGUUCUUCUUGUCCGAUAUAAAAUGAAUGUAUGAGUCAUGCUCUAAAUCUCCCCAUCCACUCUUAAAUACAAGUAGCUAAAUUAACAAUAUUGACUCUUUCAAAUAUAAAGACAGCCGAAUGCAUAAAACAUUCCUUAUUUACACAUAGGGUAUAGAGAAGGACGGCAUUACAAACACAAUUAUUAGUGUUGAUUUCACGGCUUGAAGAACUCGUAAUUUCUAGGUCAUAUGAUGAACAGAGACAGAGCUAUAGAAUUUAAAGUUUAUAUAUGAGUUCUGAAAUGAUCAUUAAACUUAUAACUCAUCUUAGUUGCUGGGUUCGUAAUUCAAUAUUUAUAUAUAUUUAAUAAAUUUUUUAAUUUGAAUUCAUCUGAACCCGUAGGUAAUAAUAUCCCUUCGCCCCCUCAUAUGAAGACGAUUAUACUAAUACUCCAAAGCUCCUUUCAAAUAUAAUCAUCUAACUUCGUUUAUAACCUAUGAAUUGUUCAAAUAAUACUAUAAGUUUAUGAAUACGUGGAAGCAACUCCAAGAUUGUUCUACUUUUGAAGAAAACAUUAUAAAGACUGUCCCUUCAAUUUCCUAUAAUUAUGGACGUCGUCGACAAGAACCUUUAAAAUAUAAUGAUUCAUGUUGGAUUCAUUUUUCACUUUUAGCACAAUUUGCAAAACCCUGGUCCAUGUUGGAACUCCUGUCUGGUUUCUAAAGUAAAUUAAUUUAUUUAUACGCAACAACAUAAAAAUAUAUUACAUUAUCGGUAUAAGUUAGUUUGUGAUAUCACUGUCAUUUUUAUCAGAUCGCUAAUUGAUAGUAAUUUUAUAGAAAUUUACUUACAAUUAUUUUACAAAUAAUAUGACUAUGUAAAUAUUUUUUAUACUAUCAAUACGUAAAACCAAAACUUUUCCAAAGUUUAUUUGAUAAUUUUGAGAAAUCAGAAACACAGACUAAACUAUUUGGCAAUCAAAACGUCGUAAAAAGGAAGGACGAUAAAAUCCUAGGUUUCUUGCCUUAAAAGUUGGUCAGUUAGAUUUGCAAUUAUUUCAUCAAUUCAUUGACUUGACUGUCUGUCAACAUAUCUAGGUUUAAUUUCUUUAUUUUUUUAAAAAAAAAAUACAAUAGAUGGAUCUUCUUCCUUGCCCUUGUUAAGCAAUAUGAUUAGGUUUUCGAAAGGGCCAAAGUGACGGUUUGACAGAUUAGAGGAGUCGAAACGAAAAUAAAAUACAAUUAAUGGAUUAUGUGGGAUUUUAGAAAUUAAUACAUUAUGAUCAUUAUUCAUUACCUCUCUAAAAAUACAUUAUUGAAAAUAAUAGAGGCCACCUUCUUUUAUGGAGUUGCUUUCAUGAUAGAUACCAUCUUAGCUUUCUUAUUUAACCAAUACACGUAAUUUUUAUUGAAAAUUGACGUACAUUUAAUAUGGGUUCAGAUGUUUUAAAUAGUGAUAUCUUUUCCUUCUUCUUUUUUUUGCCGACAUAAAUAGUGAUAUUUGAUGUAGCAAUUUUUUUAUCAUUCUAAUCAACAAGAUCGCGAAAUGUUAAUAUUGUAUUUUAUAAAUUAUUUUUCCUGUAAUGUUGGUUAAGGUACUUGUACCUAUUACAAAGACAAAGAAUGUCCAAUGCUAAGUUGUCGUAGACAAAACCCUGAUAUAAUCAAUUUUGCGCCACUGGCCUUUGAAAAUUCUCGAUUAUAAAGAAAAUAGUGUCAUGCUAGGCGCGAAAACUACAAUUUAUGAGGUAGAAAUAAUACGAGUUUGGUCCAAAACAAUUGUAGUUAUAGAUGAUUUAAUAUUGAGCAGUCUCGCUGCACAAAACAUCUCGCAUUCACGCAGGGUUCAGGAAAAGGCCGCAUUCUAAGAGUGUGAUAUAGACACUCUAUCCUAAUAAUAGUAUUGUUUGUCAAAAUAUACAAUCGUCACUUAGGCCUUAGUUAAGCACUUUAAUCGCACAAAAGAUUCAAAGUUAACAUUACUUAGGCCUCAUUUAUUUUUAUUAAGAUUAAUAUGUCUGAAUCUGAAUACACAUCUAAAUAUUAAUAUGUGUAUUAAGACUAAAAUGUAUGAAUUUGAAUUCACAUCUAAAUAUUAAGAUUUUGUAUUAAGAUUUGAAUAUUGAAUAAUUAAGACAAUUUAUUUUCUCUACAUCCGAAUGUAUAAAAUUUUCUUUAUUUGAACAGUAAUAAUUAUUAAUUCAAUCAAAUAAUACUAAUUUAUUUAAUACUAUAUUAAUAAAAUAUUUUUAAAUAUUAUAUGGUGGUUGGUGGUAGUGAUGGCUAAAGGUAGUGAUUGUGGGUGUAGACUGGGUAGUAGCUGAUGGUAGUUGAUGGUAGUGAUUAUUGGUAGUAGAUGAUGGAUGACAGUAGUAGUUAACGGUGGUGAUUAAUAGCGGUGGUGACUGUAACUAGAAUGGGUGAAAUAUAAUGGUGGCUGAUAGUGAUGAUCGAUGGUUGUUGUGAAAAUAGUGACUGGUGGUGAUGGUUGAAAAUAAUGACUAAUGAUGGUGACAACUGACAUUCGCGCUUGGCAGCGAUGAUGGUUGUGGCUGAGGAUUGGUAGUAAUAGGUGGUGGCUAGUGAUUGUGGUAGUCUAUAAUGGUAGAGAACGGUGAUAGUAAUGGUGGUGGUGGUUAGUGGUGAACGUGUCAGAUUUAUGAUGAAAUGUCAUUUUUUAAAUAAAUUCUUGAAUGUGUAACAUCUUAAUGGUAUUAAGACUCUAUUAUAUAUCUUAAUUAUUAAGAUAUAUUCAAAUUCAUUAAGUGGUUGUAAUAUUAAAAAAAAAACUUAAUGGUUAAGAUGUGAAUUAUUAAGAUUUAUAUCUAAAAAAGAAUGUACUUAAUGACUGAGAUCUGAAUGAUUAAAAUUCAGACCUCCCUCAAGUACAAAUAAAUGUGACCUUAGCGAAAUGACUCUAGAAUUAUAAGGAAUGUUCUAAAAUAACUCUUAUAGACCAAAUAAUAUUUUAAUAAAAAAAUAAGAUAUAUCAACUUAAAGGGCAUAACUAUUGAAUCAGAAUUCACGCCAACUGCCCUGAAAAAAAUAGGAGACGUGGGCCACAAGUAAUACGUAAACUGUCGAGUUGCACGACGAAAAAACACCCAAAUGCACACUCCUCCUAUCUUCUCCAUAUAAAUAUUCAUCACUUUUGGACCCCCUCUCCCUUGUGUAUUUUGAGUUGUAACAACACAUGUAAGCAGGUGAGGGCAUUUAAUUUAAAGGCUCAUGUACUCAUAGGCGAAUUCGAGAUUUAGAUUAUGUUGGUUCAACUUUUAAGAUAUUUUGCAUUAAACUCAUUGUAUUUUCAAAGUUAUGGGUUCAGACUUAUCAUUUGUUGCAAUUUUAAUGAAUUUUUAUACAUAAAUUUAUAUUCCGCAUCGAAAGUAUUGGAUUCGGAUAAACACGGUGGCCAAACUCUACAUCGGCCUCUGCAUGCACUAGCUAGUCUUAUAGAAGCACACGGAGGGGGUCCUAUUGGGAACUUCAGUUGGAUAUAAUUUUCUUCACCAGUCAUAUUCCUAGGGACCAUGACAUUGCAGUUUAACUAAUGCAUUAAAACUCUAUAACGUACCACCCAAAAACAUUGAAGUGCUCAUGCAUUAACUACCUACUCCUAUGUGUUAAUUAUAUCCUAUAUAAGAAAGUUAUUUGAUAAUAACCAUAGAAGAGAUUAAAUCACAACACGUAAACACAAAAGGCCUAAAAAUACUCUUAACAUGAUGUGAUAUUAUUCGUUUUGGGCCAAUCUCGGAUGAUUUUUCUCUGAAGGCCUCACACAAUUAAGAGAUCUCUACAUGUUAUAGUAGACUCCCAAUCUUUUCAGCUAUCAAUGUGGUACUUUGUUCGCACGCCCAACAAUCUACCAUCGAACUAAGUUGCACGUGGCCCACAUACUACGGUCAACGGGUCUCCCCCUCAAACUAAGUUCCAUGUGGCCCAUAGCCACAAUGCAUGGAUCAAUUUUCGAGAUUCACCUUGUGUCACCCACAUUGUUAGAGUAUAUACGCUUAACUCCAUGGUUCAUCAACAACAAUUGGUGUUUAAGUCCGAGAUUCUAAAGCAUAUGACGGAGGGUAAAUCGACGAAGGGCCGAUCAAAAAGAAGGACUAUCAGGCUUCUAUGAUGGCAAGUUUAUAGGGGAUGCACAUGAAACAUUAGGCAAAUCUACAUCGGAAUAGGAAAAGGAUAUAAGUUCACAUGAUAUUCGUACUUUUGGGCUCAAUAAUGACAUAGUCCAAGGAACAAAUCUAUCAAGUCUGUUGGCCGAAGCGGACAAUACAUAUUAUGUACUUGGGCUGUGACAGAAUAGUCAAUUGGCUUCACUUAUCCACAUACACUAUAUGGACUAAUAUUUUAUUCACACGUAGGCACAAACCACUAUCCUUGUGUGCAAAAUCCAAAUUCCAACAUAUUGCUCUUACAAUCUACUAACUAUAAUAGUAUUUGAUAAAAAAGCCAUUGUCAAAAAUCAGAGAGCUGGUUGUUUCAGAAAAACUUGGCCAUGUUAUCAUGUUUUGCUGUCUAUAUGCGAGAUGUCAUUAACCAAGAUCUCCCAACCGAGCUAACAAGAUCCGUUCUGAAUUUGUUUUCCAAGUAUUAUUGUACCAAAUAGACUAGUACUAAAUAGCAUUCGUAUAAAUCCAACAACGUAUUUCCAAGAAAAUGCCAUUCAUCGCAUCGAAAUGCUUUAACCAUCACACCUUUCGAUUAUUGAAUGGUACAAAAUAUUCUGUGGAUAUGUUUCGAAAAUGUCUAAACAAUCACAUGAAAGUUGCAGUCAGUAGUCUACAUUGAUUUGAAAAGAAACAAAAAGGAUAUUGAAGGUUUGGUCGAUGAAUUUUGGGCUAACCUUUCAUAAUUAACGAGUUCAACCAAACCUAUUGUUUUGGAUCAGAUUAUGUAUGCAUAUAUACAAACCAUUUAAUAUGUCAUACUAAUUCUAAUUCUAACAACACGAAAGAUUUCAUUAGCUUCUAUUACAGAAUGGACCACUUUCGCUAACAAUACCUAAACCACUUCUUUCUGCGCCCAAACGGCAAACUCUGGGCAACAAAAGUCUACUUUAGUGCAAAAAAAGAGCAAACAGAGUAGUCGGCCUACAUCACACUCCUUGGGUGCGGCCCUUCUUCGGACCCUACAUAAAUGCUGGAUGCUUUGUGCACCGGGCUGCCCUUUAUAUAGACAAAAAUAUAAACCACUUAUCCUAAAAUAUAAACCCGUGUUUAGUACACGGAUUGUCAUGGGAACUGUUGAUAUGGAGAUACAAUUGCAGUUUUUUGUCAUUAGCAUCUGGUGGAAAGGUUGGAAAUUUUAAAACUGCUGCAUGGAAGUGGCAAUAACUACAACUUCGUCCAAAUACAACUAAAUAAGUAUCAAAGUUACCACAGUGGAAUCAACCAAAUUUCACCGGCUGUAGGCCACCUCGGUGCAGCAGUCAGCAAGCAAAAUGCUGCACAGCUGAAAUUGAGAGACAAAUUUAAAUCUACAUUCUUAGUUAACUUGUUUUCUCUAGACUCAAUUCCUUCGCUUGUGAAGAAGCUAAGCUAGUUCUUCUUACUCAAACAUUAUGUUCACCUGCCCUUGCUUCAGGAUUGAAAUUUUCACCAGAUCAAAAGAAGUGUCCUCCAGUUUGCUGCUGAGACACAAAUUUAAAAAUAUAUACUCAGUAGACUAGUUUCUGCAAGACUGCUCCAGCUCGCUGUUCAAAUUUAGGAAGUGCCCACUCAUGCUGAAUAAUAUCUAAGCCAUCCUUUUCUGCUCCCAAACUCUGUAUAACAAGAAAGAUACUUUAGUUACGAAAAAGCAAGAAAAUAUAGGAGAAGAUGUACUCUGUAAUAAAGACGAUUAAUUUGUUCUCCAAUAGAAAGCUUAAACUUUGUAGAAAGUGCCAUCGACUCACAGGUUGUGUGUAUAGAGAGGGAUGUAAAGAUGAUCUACUGUCAUUACUCUGAAUGGUCACUCACAAUAGAAUUAAGUUCAGAAAUAUCAGGAACCUCCAUAGGUCAAUGUAUAAAGUUCCUUUAAAAUAGCAACUCUAUCACAAGCAGCAUGGGGUUCAAUCUCUUCCCUCCACAGAGUGAAAGCAAAUGUCUAUGCAUUUCAGUCUUGUUCUUACCCUGUCCCUCUUUCUAAAGGUUGCUUAAGUACUGACCACUGAGUUUGGAAUUUAAGGAUCAAGAGAUUAAUAUAAAGUUUUUUCUUAAAAAGAGGGGGGGAGAGUCCAAGCUAAAGAAAAAAGAGAAUGGACUAAAUAUGCAUGUGUAUUCAAUGAUAGAAUUCCUGGCAAUUUGCAUUCAGAAGCCAUUCAUUUAUCUCACUUGGAUCCUUGACUGAAAUAUUCUCCACCCCUUCCUACAGCCAAACAACUAGGCUCACCUAUCAGCUUUACAGUUAUUUCAGAGAUAUAGCCAUACUAUGGCUUCUGAAAUUAAAAUAAGCGAAGAGAAAAAACAGCAUUCGAUUUAGACACCUGACAACAGCACUUAAAUGACCAAUCAACCAAAUGAAUGCACGUACUAAUGACCUUCUUAGGAACAAACAUGUGUAGACUUCAUGCGCAAUUAUUCACUCUGGACAGCAAAAAUUCAACACUGAUACAUGUUGAAAUCGUAGGAGAUUCAGUUGACAAUCAAGACUAAGUAAUCCAGAUUCAUUCCCACGUUUGUUUUUUUCCUUUUUUUUUUCGUGGGGGUGGGGGAGGUGGGGGUAUGGAGAAGAUACACUCCCAGCUCAUAUAAACACUCUUUGAGUCUUCUACUUUUUUCAUAGUUCCCUAUAUGUGUACCUCAAUACACAUUCAAAUGGAAGCAAUAGACUCCAAGUUUAUAAGGCCCCGUAAAAUUUUUUCUAAAAACCCGGAUUCUGUGAUGCCAAAGUAGGCGUAGAGGUCGAACAAUACGCUGGGGAGUUAAAGGAAAACGUUGGGCAGAAUUACGCAUUUCUGCGGCCCAUUCUGCGGACCGUAGAGUGGGGCAGAUUUCUGGGGCAUUUUUGAUGCCCAAUUUCGCGGCCAUUAUGCGGCCACAUAACUGUUUCGCGGGCCUCAUUCUUGUUGCAUAUCCCGUCUUAGGAUUUCUCGGAGGGAGGUUCUGCAGUGCACUAUGCGACCGCAGAACCGUUCUGCAGUGCAUUAUGCGAUCGCAGAACAGCCAGGUCAGUUUCUUUCCAGCUCUGACACCUAUUUUUGCGGUCAUUUCGCGAACCGCAUAACCACUAUGCGAUCGCAUAUGCGACCGCAGAACCUGUUUCGGAACUUCAAUUUUUGGGGGUUUUAAACCCGACCCAAUUCCGUUAAAACACACCCCAUAGGCCAUUUUGAUCAUAUUUUCUGAUAUUUUUAGAGUGAGAGAGAUGGUCCUAGAGGGAGAAGUGAUCUUCAUCACAUUGCUCUUCAAUUCUCACUUAAAAUCUUGAAGAUUAUCAAGAGAGGCACCUAGGUCUUCUUCCUAAGAGGUAAGAAUCUAUGUCCUAGCUCUCAAUUUCGAGAUUUUGUAAAAAUGGGAUAAUUAGAGAGGCAAUUAUUAGGUGUGGGGGUUGUUGUCUUGCAUGCAUGUACCCUUGAAGUAUGUGGGAAGGUUGUGAGCUAAAAAUGGUAAAGAGUGGGUUGGAAAAUAAUGGAAUCUUCCACAAAAGAGCCUUAGAACCUUAAUGCACACCUAAUGUUUGAUAAAAUGCUCAAAUGAGUUAAAACCAUGAUCAUCUUCCUAAUUUUUGAUUCAACUUGUUAUAUUUCUAAAAUAGAUUGAAGUUGCUAAGAAUUUCGGAUCAUUUUAGAGNNNNNNNNNNNNNNNNNNNNNNNNNNNNNNNNNNNNNNNNNNNNNNNNNNNNNNNNNNNNNNNAUGUGAUUGUGUUGAAGGAUAUUUGUUCAAUAUUUGUUCUAAAUGCUUCAUCAUGUCAUCUUGCCAUUUGAGAAUAUGUUCAAAAAUGUGGAAUAUGUGUUAGGAAUGUUAAGACUUCAUGUCAAGAUUGAAAUAAAGGUUGUUAUGCCAAAUUGUAUGAAAAAACUCUAUGCGCCUAAGAUUUCCCAAAUUGCUCAUACGAGAAUUAAUGUCUUGAAUGGGAAGCCCUAUUGAUGUUGAUAUUGAUAAUGAUAUUUGAAUGUGGAAAAAGAAAACUGGAAUUAUGAAAUACGGCCAAGUGCCAAGAAUGACUUUGUAAUCGUAAUCACUAGUGCCAAUGAAUCGAAAGUAUACGAAAGGAGUAUGAUGUGCGAUGAUUGACUGAAAAAGGUAAUGUCUCUCAAAUGAGAUGGCCUAGCCGAUCGGGCCGAGAUCGGACUCCGUGUAAGAACACGGUAGUAUUAUGUAUGAAAUUGUGAAUAUGGUUGAUAUCUCAAAUGAGAUGUCCUAGCCGAUCGGGCCGAGAUCGAACUCCGUGUAAGAAUACGGUGGUAUUGUGGAUUGUGGCAUAUUGGUACUAAAAACCAUCCAACCUGAUAAUACGGAAAUUGUCUUGAAAACGUAUAUGAUCUUUAACUUGAUGUUUUAAUAUUAUUUGAAGCUCUUAUUGAAUUCUUGACUGUUCUUCUUGUAUUAUUAUUCAUUCUAUUGAGAUGGUGUUUAGUUAUACAUACUAGUGCUAUUCGACGGUACUAACGCCCCUUUUGCCGGGGGCGUUGAUCUUUAAAUGGAUGCAGGUGGUUACAUAGAAGACAAUGUUGAUCACAGCUAGCGCUGCAUCCUCUUCUCAACGGACUCAGUGGUUCCCAUUUCAUUCUGGGGUCAUGUAUUGUACCUUUUUGUUUAUAUUGCGGUCACAUUUUGAGGUAUAGCCGGGGCCUUGUUGCCGGCACCAUCUUUACUCUCUUUUGUACCUUUAGAGGCUCCGUAGAUACUAUGCGGGCUGUAUAUGGGUGUUGGGAAUGCUAAAUAAGUUAUGUUGUGUUUGAUCACUUGUUCCACUCGAACUAUAAGAAAUGUGUAUUUUGAGACUUAAAGGCGCCAUGACAAAUGAAACAGUUUAAUGUUGUAUGUAUGAAGUUCCUUCCGUCUAAUUAAUGAAAUCACGUUUUGUCUUGAUCAUGCGUGAAUUGGGUAGAGAAUAUCCAACAGGUUUGCUCGGCUGGGUUCACUCGGUUGAGUGCCAGUCGGGCCUCCCGAGGAUGGGGCGUGACAAAGUUGCUCAAAAUGGAAUUACACAUUCUAAUAAAGUUUUAAAAAAGUUGGAGAAUGUAAGAGUUGCAUUGAGUAAUUCAAUAAUAGGCCGACAUCAUUUGGCUACUUUAAUACAAGCCAAAUUCAUCUACCGAAUGCAAAUGAUCAACAAAUAAUUUUUUUUAAAUUAAUUUGCCUUCACUUCAGAAAUAGUGCCAUCCGUGUUGGGUAAGGCUAAACCCUUUCCAUUCCAGCAAAAAGAAACACCAAAAUAUAUGAGUGAGGAGGGUCAUAGACCAAACCUCCUAGAUUCAAGAGUGCUGGCAACAAGGAUGUAACAUACUUCCUUCAAAACAAUGGGAAAUGGAAGUUCUAUACCGAAGUUACUUCCAUUUUGUCAAACUAAAAUUAACUUACAAAAAUAUUGCACUUGUCAUAUCUUCUCCUAAUACUCGGAAGUUGACAUUUAUCAAGUUGAAACACUCCCUUCACCUCUUUCGGUAAUUGUUGGAAAGAGUAAUAGAAGGUAUUAUUUCCACUCAAUGAUCAACAAAUAAUUAAUUAUUCAUUUAAUAUAUACAAAAUUUAUUUAGCAUAUAAUGGCAAUAUCCUAAUUUUAUUAUGUUCUUUAAAUCACACUAAAUAGCAAGGACACUCAUUUAUUCUUCCGUUUAAAAACUUAGGAAGACACCUUCGAAAUUAACUCAUCUUGAUAACCUUUCACAUCAUAGCUUUACCUCUUAUUUUUGGGCAAAAGCUUAUCUCUAUUCUUUUUUCUAUGUAAGUUUAGUACUCAAGAAUUUAUAUUUUCGUAUCUGAAUUCAUCUACCGAUAUAAAUUUACAUUCUAUUCUACGAUAAAAAAUAAAUUAUCCCCACUUUGUUUUUUAUAUAUUUACGUUGAUUACUCAAAUUUUUAUAAUUUUUUAUUUGGGUUCAUUUAAAAUAUUGAUAUCUUAAACCCCAAUUUAUGAUUUUUGUUGCAAGUGUAAGAUAGAUGCUAAAAUUUUGCCUAAUAGAGUUGUGAAUACACCAAGUGAAGCAAUUGAGUGCAAGUGGUUAGUUUCUCCUCAGGUAAUAAAUAAAUAUCUCUGACACGCAAAGAUAUAAAUUUAUGUUGAGUGGACGUGUAAUCCUUAAUCAUUUUAUUCUUUGAUUUUUUUAUUUUUUAUUUUGUUUAAAAAAGCUUCACGAAAGCUUGUAUUCUUAUGAUUACGAUAUUCUUGUAAUAGCCAAUUGUAUUUUUAUAUUUUUUACAAUUAAAUUGAGAUAUUUGUGUAAGCAUGCCAAUUUUAAAUCACAAAUAUUCGGACUAUAUUAAAUUCAAGACAAUAUAGUCCAAAUAAAUAUUGUGGCUAAUAAAUUGGGCUAAUUAUUUAAAUCCAAAUAUAUGUAUUGGGCUAGUCCAUUUAAUCGGACUACAAAUUAAAUGAUAAGUCCACUUUAUUAGCCCAAGGUCCAAAUGGCUAUUAGUCCAUCUUAUAGACCAGGCUCAUGCCACGUGUCAAGUGAUGUGGCAAUCUAAGUCAAAAGAACGAGCCAAUAAAAUCAUGCCAUAUGUCAAAUGAUGUGGCAAUCCAAAUCAAAUAAAUGAGCCAAUAAAAUCGUACCACAUGUCAAGAAGGGAUGGCAAUCCAAGUCAAAUCAACAACCAAUAGAGCGGUGCCAAGUGUCUAGAUGGUAUUGGUCAGUUCAAACGGACCAAUCAAAUCGCAAAGCCACACCACUCCCUACAACUAUAUAUAGAGGUCUUCAUAAAGGUAGAAGACACCAGAACUGAUAACAAGAAGCAAAUAGAGCUCGUGAAUCAAACACCGUAAAUUUCUAUACAAGCUACAAGUUCAAGCACUCAAGCUACAAGUUCAAGUUCAAGUUCAAGAUCAAGAACGAAGCCUAAUCAAAUAUCAAGGCGUUGAAGAUCAAAUUGCUUGUUCGUGAUCAAAUCCAAAUUCAAGCUCAAGAAGGAGAUUCAAGACCAAGCUCUACAAGUCCUUGAAUCAAAAUCAAAAUCAAGCUCAUCAAGAUACUUUAUAUUCUUGAAGAAUCGGAGGAAUACCAUAGAGAUUGUAACACUUUCAUUUGUUGAAAUCAAAUACUAGAUUUGUUACGCAAUUUUCCAGUCUUGAUUAUUUAGUUUUCUCGACGAGAAAAUUUGUUGUUACAAAUUUCUGGCACGGCCAGUGGGACAAUCUCUCCCUCUCAUCUCUUCAAAUUACCAAAUUUCAAGAACACAGAAAUGGCUCCUAAGAAGAUCAACUUCAAACUCACUACUGCUAAAGCUGCGGAUUCCAAGUUUUCAUCUGAUGUGGAAAACUUGUUGGAUGCUACUAUGGGAAGCGUAGGACCUAUCACUAGGAACAAAGCAAACUUGCUGGGACAACAAGCAUUUCAAAUGUCAUUUUCAUCAGUUCUUAUCUUUGAUUUUUGAUCCUCAAAGGGGGCAAGAUCAAUUCCAACUGAAUUGGAAGAAGGAUCGAACAUUGUUAAAAUCGUUGAGAAGACAUUGGCUCUACUUAGCCCAUCUAGAUCUAAGAAUCUCAUCAUACAUGAUGAUGAUGAUGAUGUCUUGAUUACUAGAUCUGCUCCAAGCACUUCACGUGAGUUGUUCCACUCAAAGUAUGGUGUAAGAGAAAAUUCAGGCUUUGCUCCACCAUCCACGACGGUUAUCCAAGCAAUGGUGACUAACACUUUAACUGUUGAAGAACAACUCGCAAAUUUAACAAAGGCAAUUGAAGGGUUAACGAAGCAUAUGCAAGAUCAAGAUAAUCAAAUUGUCAAGCUAACAGAUAGAGUUGAAAGCAUGAUGGAGGGAGAUUCAAGUCAUGCUCCUGGAAAGCUCCCUAUGAUGCAAGAUAAAGGAGACUCAUCUGCAAGGCAGACACCGACUCCUAAAGAACUUCAGAUUUCAUCUGAUGGGGUUAUUCCCAUUGAUCAAUUAAAAGACUUCAUCAUGGGAACCAUCAAAGAUAAGUACAAUGUUGCUGCCAAGUCUUCUCUCACAUAUGCGAAGCCAUACACUACGAGAAUUGAUAGUUUGAAGAUGCCUGUAGGUUAUCAAACCCCAAAAUUUCAACAAUUUGAUGGUAAAGGAAAUCCAAAGCAACAUAUUGCACACUUCGUCGAAACUUGUAAUAAUGCUGGAACCUAUAGAGAUUAUCUUGUCAAGCAAUUUGAAUGUUCCUUAAAAGGAAAUGCUUUUGAUUGGUACACUGAUCUCGAGGCUGGUUUUAUCGAUAGUUGGGAGUAACUUGAAUAUGAAUUUCUCAAUCACUGUUAUAGCACAAAGCGCAUUGUAAGUAUGGUUAAAAUCACAAACACGUAUCAAUGGAAGGAUGAACCAGUCGUUGAUUUAAUCAAUCGAUGGAGGAAUUCAAGCCUCAACUGCAAAGACAGACUUAGCGAAGCUUCUUAAAUAGAAAUAUGUAUCCAAGGAAUGCACUGGGGACUCCGCUAUAUCCUACAGGGUAUCAAACCUAAGUCUUUUGAAGAAUUGAUUACACGUGCUCAUGAUAUAGAGUUAAGCAUGUAUUCAAGUGAAAAUCAAGGGGCACCUAUUAUGAACCUCGUAAAGUGAAGGAUAAACAAGAAAUAAAGAAAGGAGGCAAGUUCGUGCCUAAGUUUGAGAGCAAGGAAUCAUUGAAUGUCAAUGCCUCGCCAUUAAAGGUCGCCAUUAAAGAAUGAAGACAACGUCCCUACAGGAUAAAGCUGGCCGAAAGUUAACUCUAAAGGAAAUGCAAGCAAAAGAAUAUCCAUUCUUGGACUCUGACGUUCCAGCAAUUUUUGAAGAACUCCUUGAGUUAAAACUCAUUGAGUUACCUGAAAUGAAGCGGCCAGGCGAAGCUAGAAGGACUAAUGAUCCAAAUUAUUGCAAGUACCAUCGGUUGAUUGGCCACCCUAUUGAAAAGUGCUUUAUCUUCAAUGAGAAAGUCAUGGGCUUGGCUGCUGAAGGAAAAAUCUUGCUCGAGGAUGAGAAAGAAAGUUUGAAUCAAGUCUUUGUCAGUUUUGUUUCACUUGAUCCCAUUAUCCUUUGCAUUUUGUCUAAGUACAUGAAUGUGAUGGCAUCCAAACUGCAUCAUCAUGAAACAUGAUUAAAUUUGGUGACUUUGAACCUAUCGAUGUGAGCAAACCAUUGCUUCUCCCUAUAGUGAAUAAAGUAAUAGUGGAGGAAAGAUCUCAAGAGAAAAGCGAAUCACGUAAUGGUCAAACUGAUAAUGAAGGUUGGAUUCUUGUGACUCGGCGGAGACGCUGCAAGACAAAUUCACAAAGGGAGUCAGGUACGCUAUUGACUAGAGGGAAAAUGGUGAAAAGACCCAAGAAGAAAAUGAUAGAGAAGAAUUGGAAGAAAACAAAAAUAUACGAUAAUCACAAUCAAAGGCUACGUCGUCUAGUAACAUUGGAUGAAUUCAUGCCAAGUUGGUUAUGCAUGCGAGCUCAUGUAAAGAUAUCAAGGCCUCAUAUUGUAAGAUAGAUGAAGAAGAGACAAAGAAGGAGGAUCCAUCAUUGCUGCCACCUCCCUUGCCUGAAAAACUCACUGAGAAUUCUGAAGAAAUGGACAUUUGUGAUGCAAAAAUCACAUUUACUAAUGAUGAUCUCUUUCUUGGUGAAACAUACCAUAAUCGUCCCCUAUUUAUGGUUGGCUUUGUGAGAAAACAGAGAAUAAGUAGAAUCUUGAUCGAUGAUGGAUCUGGCAUCAAUAUUCUCCCAAUUCGUACUGUCAAAGAGCUUGGCAUACCGAUGGAUGAACUUUGUGAAAUUUGUUUGAUGAUUCAAGGGUUCAAUCAAUGGGAGCAAAGAGCUAUAAGGGCUAUCAAAUUGGAAAUAAAUAUGGGAGAUUUGCAUUCAAGUGCAUGGAUACAUGUGAUCGAUGCAAAGACCUCAUAUAAUAUCUUGUUAGGAAGUCUAGGGAUACACAAGAACAAAGUGGUUUCAUCCCCCUACCAUCAGCGCUUGAAGUACUGUGAAGAUGGUGUCGAAAAGAAGAUAGUUGCUGAUGAUAAGCCCUUUACCGAGGCUGAAUCAUACUUUGCCGAUGCAAAAUUCUACUUAAAGAAUUAUGUCUCGAAGGAGUUUAAGGUUGAUGACGUGAUGCCAACCAAAAGUAUUGCAAAGAAGGUUGAUGUCGCAACUGCAAGGCAAAGGUUACGAUUGAAAAAGAUAUUGUGCUUUAUGAUAGAAACAAGAUAAAUGAGGCAUCUUCAAGUAAGAAAGUGACUCCCAUUCUUCGCUAUAUCUCAAAGGCAACGAAGGUUGAAUAUCCAUCUUCUGAAUCAUAAGGUAAUGUGUUAGGAGGUUUGACCCUUCAUGUCAAGCAAAUUGAUACAACUAAGUCGUCCACAAAGUUUCUUGAAGGGUUUGUCAAAUCAUCAAACCCUAAUUCGCUUCUAAAUCUAGCAGUUCCUGCAAAGCGCACAAAUGAUGGCUUUGACCCAAAUGCCUACAAGUUUUUAGAAAAAGUUGGAUAUAAUCCAAAUGAACCAUCCAAGUUGGGAAAGCUCCCACAUGAAGCUUCAAACCCUACUCAAAAGAUUAUGAUGGAAAAAGAGUACCCCUUGAAGCAAUCACGUGAAGGUUUGGGUUACAAACAACCCCCGCCAAUCCGUAUCUCCAUUAAAAGGUCAAGUUGUAACUACAUUACUGCUAAAGAAGUGUCUAUGAUGCUUAACAAGAAGCCUUCUAUGUUUGAUCGACUUACAAAACCAAGGACUUCAGUAUAUGAUAGGUUGGGACCAUUGAAGAAAGAAAACAAGCGUCAUAGAGGUAAUAGAAGGAUUUGAGCACCUAUCCUAGCUAAAAAGGAGAUUUUGACCACAGACUACCCAAGUCUGAUUCCUUCUAGAAUGAGGCGAGAGACCAAACUUGUAGUUUCGUACGGAGAGGUCCUCAAAGCAAAGGCUCAUACUAUAGUCCACACUAAAGAACGGGAGGCAGAUGAAGAAAGUGUGGGGUCAUCAUAUCAUAUCACCAUUCAUGACGAACAAAAUGCUUAUUUUAUACGAAAGUCGAGGAAAUGUGCCUUGAUAUUCAUGUAUGUCAUCACAUAUCUUUCAAUGAUGGUGAUCCUGAAGAGGAUGAAGACGCUAAAUAUGCACCACCUGAGCUUGAAGAAUGGGUGAAGAUAACGGUUGAUGCACUAAAAGAAGUCAAUCUCGGAGUUGUUGAAGAUCCAAAGCCCACAUAUGUAAGUGCCUCUCUAACUGGUGAUGAAGAGAGUAAGUAUAUUGAGCUACUAAAAGAGUUCAAAGAUGUAUUUUCUUGGAACUACAAAGAAAUGACAAGGUUAAACCCCAAAGUGGUUGUUCAUUAUCUUGCUGUCAAACGAGGUGCUCGUCCUGUGAAGCAAGCACAAUGUCGCUUCAGACCUGAACUAGUUCCUUUGAUUGAAACCAAAGUUAACAAGCUUAUUGAGUCUGAUUUUGUUCGUGAAGUUAAAUAUCCUACAUGGAUUUCAAGCAUCAUCCUUGUAAGAAAGAAGAAUGGUCAAAUCCGAGUUUGUGUUGACUUUAGGGACCUAAAUAACGCUUGUACUAAGGAUGAAUUUCCUCUUCCUAUCCCUGAGCUCUAAUUGAUGCCACAACUGGAUACGAGGCGAUGUCAUUCAUAUAUGGUUCAUCUGGAUAUAAUCAAAUUCGCAUGGCACGGAAGGAUGAAGAACUUACCGCCUUUUGCACCCCUAAAGGUAUAUACCGCUACAAGGUAAUGCCUUUUGGUUUGAAGAAUGCUGGUGCUACAUAUCAAUGUGCUAUACAAAAUAUUUUUGAUGACAUGCUUCAUAAAAACAUGGAGUGUUAUAUUGAUGACUUGGUGGUAAAGUCAGGGAAGAAAGAUGAUCACUUGGAAGAUUUGAGGAUGGUAUUUGAACGACUUUGGAGAUACCAACUCAGAAUGAAUCCGUUGAAGUGCGCCUUUGGAGUUACUUCUGGAAAGUUCCUUGGUUUUAUUGUUCGACACCGAGGUAUCGAAAUUGAUCAAACUAAGGUGGAUGCUAUCUUGAAAAUUCCCGAGCCUGCAUAUUUUAGAAUAUUUAUUUCGAAUCUGGCUGGAAGAUGCCAACCGUUCAGUCACCUCAUGAAGAAGGGAGUUCCUUUUGAAUGGGACCAAGCUUGUAGGAAUGCUUUUGAAAGCAUUAAAUCUUAUUUGAUAAAGCCUCCAGUACUGGCAACUCCCAUACCUAGAAAGCCAUUAAUAUUAUACAUUUCAACACAUGAAAGGUCAGUAGGAGCGCUUUUGUCUCAAGGAAACAAUGAAGGCAAAGAAAAUGCACUUUAUUACUUGAGUAGGAUGAUGAUGCCAAAUGAGCUCAAGUAUUCACCUAUUGAGAAGUUAUGUUUGGCACUUCUCUUCUCUAUUCAGAAGCUGAAGCAUUACUUCCAAGCUCACGUUGUGCGACUCAUCUCAAGAGCAAAUCCUAUCAAAUUUGUCAUGUCUAAACCUGUCCUAAGUGAUCGAUUAGCGAGGUGGUACCUCCAAUUUCAAAAUUUUGAAAUUGUGUAUGUUCCUCAAAAGGCAAUAAAAGGACAAGCAUUAGCAGCUUUCCUAGCCAACCAUCCGAUUCCAGACGAUUGGGAGUUGUCUGAUGAAUUACCCGAUGAAGAUGCAAUGGUCAUAGAAAUUCAACCUCCUUGGAAGAUGUAUUUUGAUGGCGCUACACAUCGUGAAGGAGAUGGCACUGGAAUAGUGUUUAUCACUUCUCAAGGAGAAUUUUUGCCAUAUUCUUUCAUCUGACAUAACGAUGCUCCAAUAAUGUUGUUGAAUAUCAAGCGCUCAUACUUGGGCUUGAAAUGGCUAUGGAUAUCAAACAAUUGUAACUACAAGUUUUUGGAGACUCCAAGUUAGUGAUCAAUCAGAUUUUGGGUAGCUAUGAGGUCAAGAAGCCAGAGUUGGUGCCAUAUCACAAAUAUGCUCAAAGAUUGGUAACUUGGCUUGGAGAAGUAACUAUUCAACACGUGCCGAGAAAGAAAAAUAAGAGAGCUGAUGAAUUAGCAGCCUUAGCUUCUACAUUAUAUUUGCAUGAUCAGACACAAGUCGUUGUUUACCCAAGAUGGGUAGUUCCUCCACCAAAUGACUAUGAGGAAGAAGAAAGCGAAGUUGAGCAUCUUGCUUCCGUUCUUGAGGUUGAAAUUGAAGAUUGGCGACAACCAUUAAUCGUUUAUCUUUGUUACAGGAUAUUGUCGGAAAAUCCUCGAAGAAAGACAGAAAUCCGAAGGAGAGCCCCUCGUUUUCUUUAUUAUAAGAAUACACUCUACAGGCGAUCAUUUGAUGGAGUGCUCCUACAUUGUUUGGGGGAUGAUGAAUCCCUUUAAGCCUUGUAAGAAGCACACUCUGGAGUAUGUGGUGCACAUCAAUCUGGGCCAAAACUUCAUUUCCACAUAAAAAGAAUGAGGUAUUAUUGGCCAACCAUGGUGAAAGAUUGUUUAGAUUACGCUCGAAGGUGUAAAGCUUGCCAAUUCCAUGCUAACUUCAUACAUCAACCACCUGAAGUAUUACACCCAACUGUUGCUUCUUGGCCAUUUGAUGCUUGGGAUUUGGAUAUUGUUGGUCCAUUGCCAAAGUCUUCUGGUGGACAUCUAUACAUUUUGGCUGCAACUGAUUACUUCUUGAAGUGGGCUGAAGUUGUUUCUCUUAAGGAAGUAAAGAAGAAAAAUAUGGCUAACUUCAUCCCAGUCAAUAUUAUUUGUCAUUUCGCCAUUCUUCGAUAUAUAUUGACGGACAAUGGUAAGCCAUUCGAUAACAAGCUUAUGAAUAAAAUAUGUGAUCUUUUUGGCUUCAAGCAACGCAAUUCCUCCAUGUACUAUGCUGCUGCCAAUGGACUUGCUGAAGCAUUUAACAAGACGCUCAUCAACUUGUUGAAAAAGGUUGUCUCUAAGUCUAAGAGAGAUUGGCAUGAGAGAAUGGGAGAAGCUCUUUUGGCAUAUAGGACUACAUAUCGCACACCAACGCAAGUGAAUCCUUAUUCACUUGUUUAUGGAGUUGAAGCAGUCCUUCCACUUGAGUGUCAAAUACCAUUGUUGCAGCUUGCCAUUCAAGAAGGACUCACUGAUGAAGAAAAUGCUCGGUUACGCCUUGAAGAACUAGAAGCUCUUGAUGAAAAGAGGCUAGAAGUUUAAAAAGGCCUUGAAUGUUAUCAAGAUUGCCUGUCUCGAUCUUUUAACAAAAGGGUGUGCCUUAGAUCUUUCCAAGUAGGUGACCAAGUUCUUGUGGUCAAAAGGCCUAUUAUUACCUCUCGUCAAUCCGGGGGCAAAUUCUCUGCUAAGUGGGAUGAACCAUAUAUUGUACAAGAGGUAUACAAAAGUGGCGCUUACAAGAUAAUUGACUGAGAAGGUUUGCGAAUUGGACCCAUCAAUGGGAAAUUUAUGAAGAAAUACUAUCCUUGAAGAAAACAAGUAUGCUCCUAGACGCACGAGCAUAAACUGCAUGUUUUUCCUGGCACGCAAGAUUAUAAACUGUGCACGGCCCCAAAAAAAAGAGUCCGCUAGGUUGAAAACCUCGAAAGAGGCGGCCUAGGCAGUUAGGACAUUAAAAAAAAAACUCACCCAUUUCGAACUACGGAAUAACUUGAUCCUCUUCACGGAGGUACGUAGGCAUCUUAGAGUUUCAUUCUAAGUUUAGUCAUAUGAGUUCAAAAAUAUAUAUUACCCAAGGCAUUGUUUAAAUGAGGCAUGAUGGAAUAUAAUUAACUUGAUUGACACUUGAAAAUUAGGUGUACAUGAAUUCUUUCGUUGAACCCUCUGUCUUACAAGAUAUUGAUGGCUCAAUGGGGGCAAGCCCUCCAUGUCAAAUUAAGGUCUCUGAUCGAAUGAUUGUAGUCUUUUAGCAAAAGGCUAAAGGCUAAAUCUUCAUGUUGAAAUCUUUAAAUUUGCCAAGUUGUCAGGUUGAAGCCUCCAAGUCUGCCACGUCUUCAAGUUGAAUACUUCAAGUUGGCUAUAUAUUCAAGUUGAACUCUUCGAAUUUUACCUUCAAAUAGAAUUCUUCAUAUCCACCAAAAUUCGAGCUGAAAUCUUCAAGUCUACCAAGUCUUCAAGUUGAAUCAUCAAGUUAAAGUUUUCAAGUCCAUCAAAUCUUCAAGAUAAGUCUUCAAUUCCAUCAAGUCUUCAAGCAGAAGUCUUUAACUCUGCCAAGUCUAAAAGGUUGAAGUCUGAAAGUUAAACUCUUCUAAGCCACCAAGUCUUCAAGUGAAAGCCAACCAAAAGCCACAAAUAUGGUCUUGAAGUCUUUAGAUCAAUAUAGCCUUUAAUUCUGUUUAGUUGGAAGCUUAAGCAUAACUCCAAAGGUGUGGUCGAAACCUUUGAUAUAGUCUGUACCAUUUUCACAUAUUUAUAACUUGAAUUCUUUGGAGGAAUGAAGUCGUUAAUAUAUUUUAUUGCAUGCCUUGAUUUAUAUUGGAGAAGGAUGAUUCUUCAACUAUGAGUUUUUCUAUGCUAAGUGAAGUCUUUUAAGUUGACUUCUUCUUCUACAUGCAGAAGAGAAGUGAGAAACAUAUCUAUAUUGUGAGCACCUAAUUUUUGACUGUGCUUGAAUUUUUUCCCACUCAUCUCACCAAUACCUCACUUCUCACUCCAUCUUUCCCGCUCCCAUCUUUUCAUGCGUGUCUCCACUCCACUUUUCCCUGUCCCCACUCUUUGUCCCUCACACUUUGUCCCUACCCCACUUCCCCUUAUCCCCCAUGCGUGUCCGACAUGCGUAUCCCCCAUGCUUUGUCCUCCACUCACAAAUCCCAUACCCGAAAUCAGCCAUAAAAGCGCACAACAACCCAUCUUCCAAAAUAGGGGUGAUUUUUUUCUGAUAAACACACACACGAAAGGGGAAAUGAGGAACAGAUCUAAAAAAUUAUAAAAUGACUGAGAGAGAGAAACAGGCAGAGGGGAUUAGAAACAGAGGAGCACAACACAAAGAAAAUUCGAAGCUCUGCCAUACCCUGACUCCUUUUUCUUCUCCGUCAAAAGCCUCACGACCACAAAAACCUCACCUAAUCAAUUGUGCUUGAACCAUAAAUAAAAAAAAAGCUUUGUCCGUUAAUAUUUCCCGAUCCUAACACCAUCGUUAUCUAGCGCCGCAACACAUGCAAAAUUUUAAUUCUCCGAUUUCGGUGCAUAUUGAUCUUCACGUAGAGUUGAGGGAAAACUCAAAAAUAGAAUUUCUCCGCUAGUUUCCUUCUCAAUAUCCGAGUGGGGUUUUAGCGAGGUUCCUUUGAGGUCGCCGACGUGGUUUAUGGUUUGGUCUUAAACGGGUCGAGGUCCCUGUCUUGAUUCGAGUUCAUUUUUUGUUGCUCUGGACUGGUUUCGAGACUCCGUGUAUUUGAAUCAUUGGCACUCAAUUAAAGGUAUAUUCCUCACUCUGUUUCUUCUUAGAUUUUCAGAUUUCAAAUUGUUUUGGUAUUUGAAUGGAAUAUUUAUUUGACUGUGUGUUUGCUUUUUGAUCUUAAGUGAAAUUCUUGUGUUUGGCCUAAACUUUGAUGAGAUUAAUCCGCCAGUCAGUUUAAUUGAUCCUCUUGCUAAAAAUAUUGGGUAAUGAAUCAUUGAUUUUAAUCUUUAAAUGUUUGGAGUCUUUUAUUGCGUUCGUUGGUUCUUAAGUUCGAAGUUUGACCCCGUAGAUGUGUGAUUAGUUUGGUUAUCAGUAAAUUUCUCAACAAAGUUAUAUUGACUGAAGAAUAUUUGGUUAGUAUAUGAGAGUUAGUUUGGGGUUUAAAAUUGUUAUUAAUUACCAUUUAGGCAAAUGGUAGAACCAAAGACUUUUUCUAACAACAAUCAGUUGUUAGAAUUGUCUUAAACUUCAAAUAGCCAAUAUUAUGUUUGCUUCUCUUUUCCUAUUAUUUUGUUGUGCAAUCUUCUAUCUUGUAUGCAUGUUUAGAUGUUUUCCUCUAUAGUUUUAUUUGAUUUUGUUGGUAUGGUUCGUACCUAUUUUGGAUAGUUUGGAUCAUACGGAGGGAUGCAGGUAUAAAAUUAAAGGACUCAAUUUGAUUUUCCAAUAGUUUUAUUUCCUUGUUUCUCCCUUAGUAGCAUGCUUUAGGCGCGAUUAAUAAUAAUAAUCACCGUGGCUAUGGGUACGGUUCCUGUGGCAUAGUCGCGAUACAUAAAUCCCAAUUCGAGUGUACGUUUCACGUGACUCGACCAGAACUUCAAAUAAUAAUAAAAAUUAACAUGUUGUAAAUCGCGAGUGCGUUUCACGUAGUGCGAUUCGCAAUGUGUACAAAAACAAACGAGUGCGCGACAUCGCGACUUGUUCAAACGAAUUCCAUAAAUAAUUAAAAGCGGUUGAAAGUAAAAAAUGCACAAUAUAUUUAAAACAUGUAAUAAGUCAGAUAAUUAAGCCAGGUAUUAAUUGCUAAGCGACCGUGCUAAAACCACGAAACUCGGGAGUGCCUCACACCUUCUCUCAGGUUAACAAAAUUCCUUACCCGAUCUUCUGUGUUCGCAAACCAUGUAUAUAGUCAAUUUCUUCUAUUUGGGAUUUUAAAAUAAACCGGUGACUUGGGACACCAUAAAUUAUUCUAAGUGGCGACUGUGAAUAAAUAAAUAAUCUCAUUUCGAUUAAUGUCACUUUAAUUGUAAAAACUCCCCUAUCCCUCGGGAAAAAAAAGGGUGUGACAGCUCUGGUGACUCUGCUGGGGACUGGAACCCAGAAUAUCUAGUUCAGGGUUCAGAAUUCGAGCUUAGAAUAACUGUUAUACUUGGCUUUCUUUUACUAUCUUAUUUUUACGUGUUUGAGUCACAUGUGCUACUUGUCUGCUCUUUACCGCUUUGAUAUUGUUGAACUGUAUUAUAAAUUGUCUUCUUGCGCACCUCCUCUGAGUCUUCUGAAUAUAACCCUGGAAUCACGGAUACGCGCCCCAUUCAUUUUUGAGAUAAAGCCGGUGGGCCUGGGCUCCCGAUGAAGGAUUAUUAGUCACCCAUAUUUAAGAACGGGGAGAGUACAGUAGUUAAGCCGGAGAAGUAUUGCUUCCGGUACGCUACCCCUUUCCAACUCGAGUUAUCCGCUUAUUUUAUGGUCAGUCUAGAUACACCUCACCCCCUAGGAUUUAAAAAAAAAAAACUAGAAAAACAAGCCACAUGCCUGGUUAUCCCUAGUAGGAUCGUUUGUUGCAUCAUGUGCAUUUGAAUUAGCGAAGCUCGGCACAGGGGUCGGGUCCAUAUAAGACAGGUAUCCGUUUUGAGACCAUCAUGUUCACAUAUGUGCUACUUGCUGCAUCAUUUGGAAGGCUUCCUUGCAUUUGUUGACCGGCUUUAGAAAAUUAGUUAAGCGGAAUUUCAAAAUAAUAAUAAUAAUAAUAAUAAUAAUAAUAAUAAUAAUAAUAAUAAUAAUAAUAAUAAUAAUAAUAAUAAUAAUAAUAAUAAUAAAAUCAUUCCCCUAGUUUUGUACAAAUAAUUCGUUUUCACUAUUAAAAAGGGGGGGGAGGGGAGGACUAAUUCCAGUGGGGUACGUAGGCAACCUUCAUCGGGUUCGGCCCCAUUUUUGCAAGAGUUUUCGAAAUCGAUGUGUCCAUAAUACUUUUCAAUUUUUUUUUUAUAAAUCGAUAGUUUUGCUGCUUUUUGUCUUUUUCAUUAUUUUUGUCUUUGCGUCCGAUCAUGUUUUUCAAUAUAACCUCAAAACCUUCUUCGGAACUGCCGAAUGACUGUUUUCUUAAAUAUAGCUAAUAUUUUACCAUUUUGUCCCUAUGUCGAACCAUUUUUGCCGAAAUAGCCUUAAAACCUUCCUCGGAAGUGCCGAAGGGCUAUGUCCGUAAAAAGUGGUUACUUUGCUCGUUUUUAACACCUUUUACCAUUCCGUCUUUAUUUUUGACCGUUUUUGUCGAGACAUCCUUUAAGCCUUCCUCGGAAGUGUCUUAGGGUUAUUUUUGUUAAAAUAGUCAUUUUGUUUUUGCCGUGUUGUCCUUUGUUCUUGGCCAUUUUUUCCAAGUCAACCUUAUAAUUAAAUGGUUAUUUUUCGUAAAAAUAAAUUUUUAUUUAUUUUUACCCGCUUAUCCAUGUGUCCGGAUGUUUUUUUUCGAGACAGCCUUAGUACUUUUCUUGGAGGUACUGAAGAACUGUUUUCAUAAAAAUAACCAUCUUGUCCACUUCGUCACAUUUUAUCUUUUUGUCCUUUGUCCGGCCAUUUUUGUCAUGUAUUUUUUCCUCGACGAGAUACCUGAGUAAUCCUUCUAGAGUCUAGCCUUCCUCCUAUAAAAAGUUUGUCUGUUGUCUUGUCCAAAAGUCUGCUUGGUGUCAUUUCUUUGAGUUUAUAUUAGGACUUGACCUUAUAAUGUUAUUUAUCAAAUACGAUAGGGAUUCAGUUAGUGGGAGACCUGACAAGAGGCCGAGGGAUGAAGAGCACUCACCGUUUAAGAUUGUCAACAAAGUGCCUAGUUUAUUGAAGCGAUGGUGGAACAACAUGGAUGGGUUUGAGUAAGGAAAGAUCAAGGGUUAUUUGAAAAACUUGGUAAACAUUAUGGAGAUUGAGCCCAAACGAAAACUCAUCGACGCUUUGGUUUAUUUUUGGGACCCGAAGAAUAAUGUGUUUCGUCUCAAUGGGUUUGAAAUGAGUCCCACCUUUGAGGAAUUCGCUGAAUAUACGGAUCUGGGGCAUAAGAGUCGAACAAAGAGACUUUUGGCUCCCAGGGAUGUCACUGCUACCAAAUUCCUCGAACAGAUGUGGAUCAGCCACACCGAGAUAGCACAUGUGGUACAAGGGCAGGUCUGCCUAGAUUUCUUGUAUGACCGGUACUGACAUGAAUGGGGAUUCUCAUAAUAUAGGACGAAGCUGGUUAACAAACAGAACCAACACACAUGGCUAGGCCAUGGACGGAAAGCAUUCAUUGUAGCUUUCUUGGGGUGCAUGGUCUUCCCGAGAGAGGAUCGGAAGGUCAACAUUCGGUUAUCUGGGAUAGUCACAACCAUGAUGAAAAGAAAUGAUUCCUCCAUUCUUCCUAUGGUGUUAGUAGAUACCUUCCGUGCCUUGACCAGGUGCUGGGAAGGAAAAGGUUACUUUGAAGGCUGCAACCUCCUGCUCCAUAUAUGGUUCAUGGAUCAUUUUUUCAGUCGUCCUUAUUAGAUAGACCACCGUACUUGUUGGGGUAAUCAUGUUCGCCAGUAUAAUUCUAGAUUGAAGAGUGAGUUGGAGAUUCGCAGUUUUCCAGAAAGUGUCCAAGAUUGGAGGAAGUAUCUUCAGUCCUUAACAGAUGAUCAGUUUACAUGGAAUUAUCCUUGGUUCACCGCAUAAUAUGUCAUCUAUAAGUCAUCUUUCUAUCCGUUUCUGAUCUUGAUUGGGCUUCGGGGUUAUCAGCCAUAUGCUCCCAUGAGAGUUCUACGUCAGUUGGGUCACAAACAAAUAGUUCCCCCGGUAGAGACUAUGGAAAACUUUAUCUGGGAAGCAACAUUAGAGGAUCCCAUUCGUGAAGCUUAUGCUCAACAUGUUUGGAAUGGCACUAAGAUACUCGAGUGUGGCACCAUGGUGGCAGAUCGAGAACGGGGUGAGCUGAAUCCUUCUUAUCUUGAGUGGUUCUUUAAUCAAGAUGCUCUCACAGAUAGACCAGGGAUAGUCGUGAAGAGCACCGCAGAGUAGGAGGCUGAGAUUCGAAACAGAGUUGGGAUGGCUGCGGAAGAAAUGAAAAGAGAUUAUAAAUCUGCCUUUGGAGCACUUCAAGAAGAGCUCGGCAUUGUUAAACUAGAUAGGGAUCUGUUGUAUGAUGUUUUUGAGAAAGAGAAAGCUCAGUGGGAACGUGCGAAACAAGCACCCAAAGCCCAAAUUCGAAAGAAUAACAUAGUCACAACCGCUCAGCAACAACAAGAGAAAGAAGCCCAGUUCAGGGUAGUGCGUGAUCAUGAGAGCAUGAUUUACGCUCCACUAAUCCAAGGUCUAAGGGAUCAGUUAGAGGGAGUUGAAUCAAGUAAGGAGCGCCAGAUCGCCGAAUUUGAAAUAGAAAGACACCACUAUCAAAAGGUGAUCAAUCGGUUAGAGGGGGAGUCAAUAGAAGUUCGGCGCCAGAGAGAUAUGGCCUUGGAGCGCGAGCAUGAUGCGCUGGAUCUAGCCGAAACUCGUGGUCAGCAAAAUCAAGAUUUGCAUUUGGCUCAAGAGCACAUUAAGGGAAAGAUCCUCGAGGUAGCCACAUAUACCUCCCGAGCUUGCAGGAGUUGCCAGGGAAUAACGCCAGAGCGGUUUGCAUUGAACGUCACCCGUCACAUAUUUGCAGACUUAGAGAGGAUAUACCGCGACGUUGGGGGUCAUCUGCAGGAAUAAGCUCCAUGACUACAGUAGUGCUGGUGUAUUCUCCUGUAGAAUAUUGGAUCUUCUUUUAGCUGGCAGUCCACUUUGAUUGUUCCUUUGUGGUCUUUGAGUCUAUAAGAGUCUAGUGAUUUGAGUCUUGUUGUUUUGCAUUUUAAAAGUCUGUUUGAGUCAAGUCUGGUCUUGUUUAAAUGUUGAUCUUUAUGUAAUUCUUAUUUUUGAGUCUUAUAUCAAAAACAAAAUAUAUAAAUAUAUAUAAAAUUUGAAAAUCAAUGAAAAAGAUUUUGAAAAAUUCGAAAUUGAACCAAAGAUGUUUGUUUUGCAAAAAAAAAAAAAAAAAAACUAACGGUCGUGUCCUUGAACUACGUAAUGAUCUAAUUCAUGCGGCGACAUGAUACGUAGGCAACCCACAAAAGGUUCGAUCAAAAUAUUUUUCAACGAUUCCAAGUUAAAAAUGAGGUGUGAGUAAAAAAAAAAAUAAAAAAAAAUAUAUAUAUAAAUAAGAGCGACAAUAAGAAGCGACCUGAUAAGCCUGAAUGAAACAUGAAGCCUCCAAAAGCAUGUUAGAAAUAGUGAUAAUGAUAGGAGCAUGACAUAUUACGUGUGAUUCAUAUCUAUAAAAUGCUUAACCCUAAUACGUUUGUUGUCUCUUAUAUCAGUAGUAAGCUUAAGGUGGUUGGUUUGUGGUAAAACUGGCAACACAUCAUUACUUCACCAGAUCUAAGGGAACGAUAGUAAUGGUUAACGAGGAUGUAAUCGAGCUGGUCAGUGACGACCCCCAGGGUCAGUCAGUUGAGCAAAAGUCAGAGGAAAUAAAAACAUUGAGACAACAAUUGUCUGAUAUAUAUCAAGCUUGGGUUUCCGGUCAGCCUCCACCCCGGGGUCCCUCAGAGGGAACUUCCACUAUACCUUUGGCUACUCAAACACCGCUCCAUACAAUGAGAGAUCACAUUCUACCACCAGGGUAUGUGCCAAACUACAGCCUUCAUGCUACUCCCGGUACCUCUAAUGUGCGGCCUCCAGUCGUACCGGUCAGGAAUACUCCUCUCGUUGUGUCCGGCGCACAGGUAUAUACGAUCCCACCCCUACCUAUUAUGACGAGGAAAAACAACGAGCCAUCAUCUCAUGCUUAUGAUGGUCAAUACUACUCUCCAAAUGCGGCUUUCAGGGUCUCAGCUCCAUACAAUCAGACUCCUCAGUACGAGUCACCAGUGGAAAAUGAAAAGCAUGCCAAGACGGUUGAGCCAGAUGAGAUGGCCAGGAAAAUAAAAAGUCUUGAACAGAACAUAAAGAACAUACAAUGACUAGGUGGUCACAAAAGUAUUUCAUUCAGUGAUCUAUGCAUGUUCCCUCAUAUCCAUUUGCCACCAGGGUUCAAGACCCCAAAAUUUGAGAAAUAUGAUGGACACGAUGACCCUAUCGCCCACUUGAAAAGGUACUGCAACCAGCUGAGGGGUGCAGGUGGAAAAGAAGAAUUACUGAUGGCUUAUUUUGGGGAAAGUCUUGUGGGGGUAUCCUCCGAAUGGUUCAUUGACCAAGAUAUCUCUUACUGGUAUGUUUGGGAUGACAUGGACCAAGCAUUUGUUAAACAAUUUCAAUACAACAUUGAUAUUGUGCCAGAUCGCAAUUCCCUAUCCAAUAUGAAGAAAAGGCCGACUGAAAGCUUUAGGGAGUAUGCAAUCAAGUGGAGGGAGCAAGCGGCUAGAGUUAAGCCGCCCAUGGAUAACCACAAAUUGAUCACUAUUUUUCUAGAGGCUCAAGAGCCUGAUUACUUUUAGAACAUGAUGUCCGCGAUGGGUAGACCUUUUGCAGAAGCGAUCAAAAUAGGAGAGGUGGUCGAAAAUGGCCUUAAGACUGGCAGAAUUGUAAGUCAAGCUGUUGUCAAAGCCACCACCCAAGCUAUCCAAAAUGGGUCGGGAAGUUUGGCAAAUAAAAAGAAGAGAGAUGGAGGGUCGAUGAUGACUUCGGGAUCCAGGGAAGUUCAAAGAGGGGCAUCGCACCCUUAUGUGCAAGUUCAGCAAGGGCAAUCUAGCUACCCUCAACAUUAUCAUCCCCCACCAAUUCCUCAAUACUCUGUGGGCCUACCACGAUAUACAGUGUUUAAUGGUCAAUCCUAUACUCCGCCUCCCAAUCAACAUGUGCGGGCACCAGCUCCAAGGAUCCCCCGACCCCAGCAGCAAAAUUUUGGGACACCCUACAAUGCUCGUCCGAUGGAAAAAUUCACUCCAUUGGUUGAAUCAUACUCUAGUUUGUUCCAGAAGUUGAAGCAGAUGGGUGUGAUUAGACCUAUCACUCCCCACCAUAUGCAUCCCGAUUCAUAUAGAUUUCAAGAAAAUGCUAGAUGUGAAUAUCAUUCAGGUUCCCCGGGGCAUAGCACUGAUGACUGUUCGACUCUGAAAAGAGACAUUGAAAGACUCAUUGCUGAAAAAUUGAUUGUAGUGACGAAUGGUGAGGACCCUCCUAAUGUGACCAACAACCCGUUGCCAGUACACAAUGAUGUUUAUUUUGUGGGAAUGAUUGACCGAGAUCGAGAAUACAAGUUGGUUGGUCAAACAGAAAUGACAGUGGGAACUAUUCAAGAGGGAACCAAACUCGAAGUAAGUCCAAGCCGAGAUGUGUCGUUGAUUGUGAAAGGCGCCUCGAGCUCAGAAAAGGUAACUUUAUUUGUUCCCAAUGUCUCAAGGUUAGAAGUUUGAUCCAAUGUUCCAAGCCCAAAGUUAUAUGUCCUUGGAGGCUACCCCAUCACAAGGCAGAAUCAGGGCGGUACGAAGGGUAUAACAGAGUCGAUCAUAAACAAGCCUUCCAUACAACCCCGUGUGACAAACACGAAAACCAUUCCUUUUAACUACAACAAAAUUGUAGUAACCUACAAAGGCAAGAAAAUCAUAGAAGAAAUGGGGAAACUGGUGGUUUGACUCGAUCGGGGAGGUGUUACUCUCCAGAAGAGUUGAGGAAGUCCAAGCAAAUCAGAGAAGGCCAAUUGCCAAUAAAGAAACCAGUCACUAAAGAAGAGGCGGAGGAGUUUUUGAAAAAGACGAAAGUUCAGGAUUACUCAAUCAUUGACCAGCUGAGAAAGACUCCUGCCCAAAUCUCUCUACUAUCUAUGCUCCUACAUUCAAAAGAGCAUGCCCGUGUACUAAUCAAGAUCCUGAACGAGGCACAUGUCUCAGAGAAGACCACAGUGAAUCAGUUAGAGAAGAUGGCCAACAGUUUUUUUUGAGGUGAACAAAAUCUCCUUUACUGAUGAUGAACUCCUCUAGGAGGGAGUCGGGCACAAUAGGGCUUUACAUGUGACAGUUAAAUAUGAGGGGCACUACGUAAAGCGAUUCAUGGUUGAUGGAGGCUCGAGCAUAGAUGUAUGCCCUUUCUCCACCUUACAAAGCAUGAAAAUUAAUACAGAUAGAAUUCGACCCAGCAAUGUCCGCAUCCGGACUUUUGAUGGAUCAUCGAGAGACACCCUUGGGUAGAUUAGCCUUACAAUGACAAUUGGGCCGGUUAAUUUUGAAAUUAUCUUCCAAGUAGUGGACAUGAAAACGUCUUAUAACUUUCUUCUUGGAAGACCAUGGAUCCAUACGGCUCGAGCUAUGCCAUCCACCUUGCAUCAGAUUCUUAAGUUUGAACAUGACAAGCAAGAGAUUAUUCUUCACGGAGAAGACGAAUUCUCCAUUUAUAAAGAUCCGUUAAUUCCGUGUAUUGAGGCCAAGGAACGGUGCGAGUCCAUUGUUUAUCAGGCUUUCGAAGUGGUUGCUGUGGACCAUGUUGAGGAAGGAAAGCCCAUUCUGCAUCCUCGUCUAUCCUCCACAUCUGUAAUUGUGGCUGCACUUAUGCUGAGACAAGGUUAUGAUUCGGAAAAAGGCUUGGGGGCAUCAUUGCAAGGAAUUUCGGAACCCAUCUGUGAUGACCCAAAAUGUCAUCUUUAAAUUUAAUAAGUAAUUCUGUGUUCUAAGACCUCAAAAAGCACUAUUUAUCAUUUCUCGACUUGCGUGCGCAGUCCGUAAAAUUUUUUGAAAAAUUUUCAUGUGAAAAAUAAAUUAAAAUGUGAAAUAGAGUUUUAAAACUCAAGUGAGUUGACUUUGGUCAAUAUUUUUAGCAAACGGACCCGGAUCAGUAUUUUGACAGUUCCGGUAACUCCAUAUCAUGAUUUGGGACUUGGAUGUAUGCCCGGAAUUUCAUUUGGAGGUCCCUAACUCAAGUUAUGACCAUUUAACAGAACUAGCAAUUUAAAGGCUAAAGAUUUCCAAGUUUGACCACGAGGUUGACUUUUUGAUAUCGGAGCCAGAAUCCGAUUCUGAAAAUUUGAACAGCUCUGUUAUGUCAUUUAUGACUUAUGUGCCAAAUUUAAAGUCAUUCCGGAUUCAUUUAAUAUGUUUUGGCACGAGAUUUGCAAAUUGAAAGUUUAAAACUCAAAGUUUGAAUCAGGGUGUGAAUUGUAAUUUCAGCGUUGUUUGACGUGAUGCGAGACCCCGAGUAAGUCCAUAUUAUGUUAUUGGACUUGUUGGUAUAUUCGUACGGGGUCCCGAGUACCCCGAGAGUGAUACAGAUUGAAAUCGGAUCAAGAACUGGACUUGAGCAAAAUUUGUAUUUUUUUCCUUCUGCUGUAAUCGCACCUGCGGAUUUUUCUCGCAGGUGCGAGCUCGCAGAAGCGAGCCUUCGAUCGCAGAUGCACCCCGGGUGUUGCUGGGUAUUGAUUAUAUUUCAUGAUUCCAUACUCGUUUAUAUCAUGAAUCCAUGAAUUUAUGGAAGAAAAAUUAGAUUUUUCUAAAAUCUUCCAAAAAACGNNNNNNNNNNNNNNNNNNNNNNNNNNNNNNNNNNNNNNNNNNNNNNNNNNNNNNNNNNNNNNNNNNNNNNNNNNNNNNNNNNNNNNNNNNNNNNNNNNNNNNNNNNNNNNNNNNNNNNNNNNNNNNNNNNNNNNNNNNNNNNNNNNNNNNNNNNNNNNNNNNNNNNNNNNNNNNNNNNNNNNNNNNNNNNNNNNNNNNNNNNNNNNNNNNNNNNNNNNNNNNNNNNNNNNNNNNNNNNNNNNNNNNNNNNNNNNNNNNNNNNNNNNNNNNNNNNNNNNNNNNNNNNNNNNNNNNNNNNNNNNNNNNNNNNNNNNNNNNNNNNNNNNNNNNNNNNNNNNNNNNNNNNNNNNNNNNNNNNNNNNNNNNNNNNNNNNNNNNNNNNNNNNNNNNNNNNNNNNNNNNNNNNNNNNNNNNNNNNNNNNNNNNNNNNNNNNNNNNNNNNNNNNNNNNNNNNNNNNNNNNNNNNNNNNNNNNNNNNNNNNNNNNNNNNNNNNNNNNNNNNNNNNNNNNNNNNNNNNNNNNNNNNNNNNNNNNNNNNNNNNNNNNNNNNNNNNNNNNNNNNNNNNNNNNNNNNNNNNNNNNNNNNNNNNNNNNNNNNNNNNNNNNNNNNNNNNNNNNNNNNNNNNNNNNNNNNNNNNNNNNNNNNNNNNNNNNNNNNNNNNNNNNNNNNNNNNNNNNNNNNNNNNNNNNNNNNNNNNNNNNNNNNNNNNNNNNNNNNNNNNNNNNNNNNNNNNNNNNNNNNNNNNNNNNNNNNNNNNNNNNNNNNNNNNNNNNNNNNNNNNNNNNNNNNNNNNNNNNNNNNNNNNNNNNNNNNNNNNNNNNNNNNNNNNNNNCUCCCUAAUCUCCAUAAUAAUUUGCUAUUUGUCAUUGUUUGUUUCAUAAUUAAAUCAUAAUUAUUGUAUGCUUAUUGUCUUAUAAUUUUAUAUCAAUUGUUGCAUUUAUUGGGAAAAUUUCUUUUAUAAGAAUUGGUAAAUGAAUAUGUUGGAGGAGCGGGUUGCACGCCGCAACAUGAUUGAUUAUAAUGAAUAUAUUGGAGGAUCGGGUUGCAUGCCGCAACAGACUUAUUUAAAAGCCGACAUACAUAUAUAUAUUGGGGGAUCGAGUUGCACGCCGCAACAAACUUGAUUAGAAUGAAUAUUUUAGAGGAGCGGGUUGCACGCCGCAACAGAAUUGAAUGUGAAUAUAUUGUGAGAGAGGGUUGCACGCUGCAACAGAAUUGAUGGAAAUGACAAUCGGUUAUGACUGCUGAGUUGGCUUCAAUUAUUAUAAAUGAAUUACCUGAUUUAUUUUUGUUAUUUGUUGUUGUUAUUAAUAUUGCGUACAGGUUAAUGUAAGUGGACCGCCUUAGCCUCGUCACUACUUCGUUGAGGUUAGGCUCAGCACUUACCAGUACAUUGGGUCGGUUGUACUGAUACUACACUCUGCACUUCUUGUGCAGAUUUCAGAGUUGGUCCCAGCGGCGUGCCAAAGACUUGCUCGAAUUUCAGCUACCAGAGGAGACUUGAGGUAUAACUGCAUGGCGUCCGCAGUUCUGAAGUCCCUGUCUAUUUUACUUUAGCUGUGUGUUUAUUUCCAGGCAGCUUUAUUUUAUUCAGACAUUUAUUUAUAUUUAUUCUAGAUGCUCGUGCACUUGUGACACUAAUUCUGGGAUGGUAUUUAGACACCGUUAUUUUUUAUGGAUUAUUUCACUAUAUUUCAAACUUUUCUUCCGUUUUUGUUUCCUUGAUUAUUAAUAAUUUAAAAAUUAUUUAAAAAUUGGUUAAUAUUAUUUUAACGUUGGCUUGCCUAGCAAGUGAAAUGUUAGGCGCCAUCACGAUCCGAAAGAGGAAAUUUCGGGUCGUGACACCAUCUAUCCCUUUAGCAACAAGGGUACUUUUGGCUUAGGUUUCAGGCCAACACAAGCAAAGGUAGAUAAAGCUAAGCACCAAAAAAAGCAUGGUUGGGUCUUGCAGUAGCCCAUCCCUCACAUUUUGUACACUUUUGUCAAGCCACGACUCCAGGAGGGUCAAAAUUCCGCGGCGCAGGAAAACAUUGAUGAAAUUUGCCAUGGCCUUAGCCAGAUAUUUUCUGAAGUGAAUAUGAUCCAGGUUGGUGAAGGCACUAGUCGUACCGAUAUGCAACUAAUUGGCCCAGACACCAUGCUCAGCAAUUGGGAAGCAACUCUUCUCCCCACAAGGAAGGAGUCUUGGUAGUUUGCUUUUUGCAACUUCCUUUUGUAUUUUGUGUUACUUUCAGGGUUGUAAUCCAAACAUCUCAGUAUGAUUAUUUUGUUUUGAUGUUAACCCUUCUAUCCUUUCAAAUUCAAUGAAAUGCAGUUCAAUUUCGUAUUAAAUAUAAUAUCUUUUCCUUUUCCUAAUUCUUGUCAUUUUGUUUCCAUUUCAGUUUUGUUAAUGCCGGCUUUAAUAACAUGACAUGCAUGCGAAAUUCAUGCCCAGAUCUUAAAAAGUUGUCUAAAUUCGAAAUAAUACAUCAAUAGGUCGAAUAUGAUGAAAAGGAGGUUGUUGAGGAAAUAAAAAGAGAGUUGGAACAAUUUGAAAACAAGCCUAGGCCCAAACUCAAUGAAACUGAGCCAAUUAAUAUUGGAGGUCAUGAAGAAGUCAUGGAAAUAAUGAACAAAAAACUAGAGAUACCUUGAUUCAAAUUUUAUUUGAGUACAGAGAUGUGUUUGCUUGGUCUUAUGAUGAUAUGCCGAGUUUAAGUGCCGAUUUAGUGGUUCAUAAGCUUCCCACAUAUCCUGAUUUUCAACCAGUCCAACAGAAGCAACGAAAAUUUAAAAUACACAUGAGUGAUAAAAUCAAAGAGGAAAUAAUGAAGCAACUGAGCGCCAAUGUAAGAGCCGUACGAUACACCACCUGGGUGGCAAAUGUUGUGCAUGUGCCAAAGAAAGACAGAAAAACCAGAGUCUGUGUUGACUACAGGGACCUGAACAAAGCAAGUCCAAAGCAUAAUUUUCCUUUACCAAAUAUCCACAUACUUGUAGAUAACUGCGCUAAGCAUGAGAUACAAUCUUUUGUAGAUUGCUAUGCCGGAUACCACCAGAUUCUAAUGGAUGAGGAUGAUGCAGAAAAGACCAUUUUCACCACUCCAUGGGGUACCUAUUGUUACAGGGUCAUGUCAUUUGGUUUAAAGAAUGCGGAGGCAACUUACAUGAGGGCCAUGACCACCAUUUUUCAUGACAUGAUGCACAAAGAGAUUGAAGUAUAUGUCGAUGAUGUCAUCAUAAAAUCAAAGACACAAGCUGAUCACAUGCGUGAUUUGAAAAAGUUUGUCAAACGACUUUGAAGAUAUGACCUUAAGCUCAAUCCAGCCAAGUGUGCAUUUGGGGUGCCAUAUGGGAAACUCCUUAGUUUUAUAGUCAGCCGGAGAGGCAUCGAAUUGGAUCCAUCUAAGAUGAAGUCCAUUCGAGAUCUGCCACCCCCGAAGAACAAAACUGAAGUCAUGAGUUUGCUCGGGAGAUUGAACUACAUCAGUAGGUUCAUUGCUCAGCUCAUAAACACGUGCGAGCCCAUCUUUAAGUUGUUGAAAAAAGAUGUUGCUAUCAAGUGGACGGACGAUUGCCAAAAAGCUUUUGACAGGAUCAAAGAUUACCUGUCAAAGCCCUCUGUACUAGUCCCACCAGAACCUGGUAGGCCUUUGUUUUUAUAUCUAUCAGUGAUGGAUAAUUCCAUUGGAUACGUUCUGGGGUAACAUGAGGCGCCAGGAAAAAAAGAGCAAGCAAUUUAUUAUUUGAGCUAGAAGUUCACCAAUUAAGAGGUUAAGUAUACCCUUUUAGAAAGAACAUGUUGUGCCUUGACUUAGGUCGCUUAGAAGCUGAGGCAUUAUCUCAUGGCAUACACUACUUACCUCAUAUCCAGAAUGGAUCCUUUGAAGUACAUCUUUCAAAAGCCAAUGCCCACUGGAAGGCUUGCAAAAUGGCAGAUUCUGCUCACAGAGUUCGACAUCGUCUAUGUCACUCGCACCGCAAUGAAAACACGGGCUUUGGCAGAUCAUUUAGCAGAUAAUCUAGUUGAUGAUGAUUACAAGCCACUGAGCACAUACUUCCCAGACGAAGAAGUCAUCUCAAUAGAGGAAGUAGUUUCGGAUGACAUCCGUGUAUGGAAUAUGUAUUUUGAUGGGGCUGUCAAUAUCAAAGGAGUUGGGAUCGAGGCAAUCCUUAUCUCACCUAUUGGACAACAUUACCCUGCAACGGCCCAAUUUCGUUUAUUCUGUACCAAUAAUACGACAGAAUACGAGGCUUGUAUAAUGGGUCUAAAAAUGGCCCUCGAUUUGGAUUUGCAUGAACUAUUGGUUAUGGGAGAUUCCGACUUGCUUAUCCGGCAAGCCCAAGGCGAAUGGGAGACACGAGACAUCAAGUUUAUCCCAUAUAGACAAUGUGUACAAGACUUGAGCAAGAGAUUCAAAACCAUCGAAUUCAGGUAUAUCCCCAGGUUUCACAAUGAGCUAGCCGACGCCUUGGCUACCUUAGCCUCGAUGCUCCCUUAUCUAGGCAAUACUCAUAUUGAUCUAUUGCAAAUUCAAGUUCAGAAUCAACACGGCUACUGCAAUACUAUUGAGACAGAACUAGAUGGUGAACCUUGGUAUCAUGACAUAAAACGAUUCUUGAAAAUAAGGGGACACCCAGAGGAUGCCCAGGGAAAUCAAAAAAGAACUAUAAGGCGGCUCGCCGGCAGUUUCUUCCUGAAUGGGGAACUUUUGUACAAAAGGACCCCAGAUUUGAACUUAUUGAGAUGCAUAGAUGCCACAGAAGCUGAGCGGAUCAUGAGUGAAGUGCAUUCGAGGGUAUGCCGACCUCACAUAAAUGGCUAUGUUUUGGAAAAGAAGAUUCUACGGGUAGGGUAUUAUUGGCUUACUAUGGAGCGAGAUUACUUUAGUUUUGUUCGCAAGUAUCACCAAUGCCAGAUUUAUGGUAACUUGAUUCACUCGCCUUAUUCGGAGUUGCAUCCUAUGUCCUAUCCUUGGCCUUUAGUUUCUUGGGGAAUGGAUGUUAUUGGGCAAAUCGAUCCAAAGGCUUCAAAUGGGUAUAGAUUCAUUCUGGUCGCCAUCGAUUACUUCACCAAGUGGGUAGAGGCAGUUACUUUCAAGGCAGUCACAAAGAAAGCAGUGCUAGACUUUGUUCAUUCCAAUAUCAUCUAUCGCUUUGGUAUCCCAAAGACCAUUAUAAUUGACAAUACAGUUAAUCUAAAUAGUCAUCUGAUGAAGGAGGUAUGCGGGUAAUUUAAAAUUGUGCAUCGCCAUUCUACCCCCUACCGGCCUAAAGCCAAUGGAGCCGUUGAAGCAACUAACAAGAAAAUCAAGAAGAUCCUUAGGAAGAUGAUCCAAGGGUCCAGGUAAUGGCAUGAAAAGUUGCCUUUUGCUCUUUUGGGAUACCGCACGACUACUCGCACAUCUGUGGGUGCAACUCCUUAUCUGUUGGUUUAUGGAACUGAAGCUGUAAUACCGACUGAAGUCGAGAUUCCCUCUCUCCGAAUCAUUGUGGAAUUAGAGAUUGAAGACACCGAGUGGGUCAAGACCAGAUUAGAACAACUAAUGUUGAUUGAUGAAAAACGACCAGCAACAGUGUGUUUUGGCCAGUUAUACCAGCAAAGAAUAGCACGCGCUUAUAAUAAGAAAGUGCGCCCGAGGCACUUUGAGGUAGGCCAGCAUGUUUUAAAACGUAUCCUUCUGCACCAGGUAGAAGCUAAAGGAAAGUUUGCCCCGAACUGGCAAGGACCCUACAUCAUCAAGAAAGUAUUACCAAAAGGGGCAUUACACUUGGUAGAAGGAAGAGGGACUGGUACCAGACAUGGCUAUUAAUGCAGAUGCAGUCAAAAGAUAUUAUGUUUGAUACAUACCCACUGUAAAACUUCCACGCAUCAAUUUUCUCAGAUCGAGAUAACGAAUGCUAUCUUUUGCUCGCUACCCCAAAUAAGUGUCACCAUUUUGUUAACCUUUUUUAAGCCAUGUUUGUUUUCUUGGUUUUCCCUCCUUUUGGAACCCAUGUAAAAAAAUAAUCUUCUGAGUCAUUGAACUACGUUCGACUUGAUUCCAAAAGGAUACGUAAGCAGCCUCUCCCUGGGUUCAGUCACACCAAAACAAAAAUCCACAUUCCCCCAAAAGUUGAAACUAGGGCAAAUAUUAUAAUGGUUCGGCGAUGAUUUCGCCUGAAAGGUCUCAAAGUUGUAAUUCAAUCCAAAUUCUUUUUACCCAAAUCCUUUUCAAGUCCUUCCGAUCAAUCAACGAGAAUAUUCAAGAAUUGAAGGAUACAGUCAUUUGGAUCUGAUACAACUAAAAUGAGAGAAAUAAAAUGAGAGAGUCUUAUUAAUAAAAACUCCCACGGGCACCGCAGGGCGAUGGCGAGCAUAGAAAAUGAAAAUGAGAGAGUCUUGUAGUGAAAACUCGCAAAGAGCACUAUAAGGCGAUGGUGAUAAAAUAAAUGAGAGAGGUCAGUUAGCGAAAACCCGUAAAGGGUGCUACUAGCCGAAUGAGGGUCUUUGAUACUCCGGUAUGAGCACAACCAAGACGGUUUCAAGAUGAACAUUUGCGACGGAUUUUGAGAAUUAAAGAGCUCAGACAGACCAAGCUUCUAGUUCAAAAUACAUGUCGUGAUUCAUUGAAGUCGGCACAUACCUCCAGAUAAGUCUCCCUGUUCCCCUCCCCCGAAAGGGGCACUUUUUGUUUAGACAACAUUCCUUUUUUCACUUUCAAUUACUUUUCUAUUUUAACCCAUAAGUUUUAUUUGAGUCCUUUUUCGGUCUAAUCUUACAUCAAAAGCAAAGAAAAGAAAUGGCUGCAAAACUGACUACAGCUUCCCUGUAAUACCAAGCAUAAGCUGGGCAUAUACGACAUUGAUGAAGGUACGAAUCCAUAUGUGAUCUCUUUUGAUAAGACGAACAAAACGUCUCAAAGAAACUGAAAAGGUCGCCUAAGCAAGACUUGCUUCGUGGGAAAAGUUGAUAAGCACUACAGACACGAACUGGUACUAGGUGUAAGAAAACUAAGUUCGAUUUUAAAGGAAAUUUGCCUUGCCUUAGGGACAAGGGUUUGCGGUACCAUGGACAUCCGGAUAUGAAAUAGUCGGGGGCAACAUCGGAGAGCCAAGGUCUCCAGAAGCUAUACAGAGUAUACAAGCAUCUCAGUAUCGUACUGGCAGAAUCAGUCCUCCUACAACAGUGGCCAUGACUUCAAGCUACUUAGGGCAUCGAGGCCACAAACCGACCACCAUUUUUUUAAACUCAAAUUUUUUCUUUGUUUGUAGCAGGAACAAAAUAGUGCAGAAUGGCAAUUCCUAAAGGACGAAUGUCACCAAAGUUAAGUUUCCUCAAAAUCUCCACUUUCCUUUAUUUUUAGCAUGCAUCACUACUGUUCAUACCUCUCAUUUUUGUAGCUUAACCCAGGUAGAACUUUUUCACCUAGGGGGAUUCGACUCAUAUUUCCGGGUAAAAGUACUCUUCGCUCAUGCUUGUUUUUCGUAGUUUAACCCAGGUAGAACAUUUUCACCUAGGGGGAUCCAACUCAUAGUUCCGAGUAGAAGUACUCUUCACUCAGGUUGUUUUACGUAAGCCUAACCCAGGUAGAACCUUUUUUUUCCUUGGGGGAUCUAGCUCAUAUUUCUGGGUAGAAGUACUCUUCGCUCAGGUUAUUUUACGUAAGCCUNNNNNNNNNNNNNNNNNNNNNNNNNNNNNNNNNNNNNNNNNNNNNNNNNNNNNNNNNNNNNNNNNNNNNNNNNNNNNNNNNNNNNNNNNNNNNNNNNNNNNNNNNNNNNNNNNNNNNNNNNNNNNNNNNNNNNNNNNNNNNNNNNNNNNNNNNNNNNNNNNNNNNNNNNNNNNNNNNNNNNNNNNNNNNNNNNNNNNNNNNNNNNNNNNNNNNNNNNNNNNNNNNNNNNNNNNNNNNNNNNNNNNNNNNNNNNNNNNNNNNNNNNNNNNNNNNNNNNNNNNNNNNNNNNNNNNNNNNNNNNNNNNNNNNNNNNNNNNNNNNNNNNNNNNNNNNNNNNNNNNNNNNNNNNNNNNNNNNNNNNNNNNNNNNNNNNNNNNNNNNNNNNNNNNNNNNNNNNNNNNNNNNNNNNNNNNNNNNNNNNNNNNNNNNNNNNNNNNNNNNNNNNNNNNNNNNNNNNNNNNNNNNNNNNNNNNNNNNNNNNNNNNNNNNNNNNNNNNNNNNNNNNNNNNNNNNNNNNNNNNNNNNNNNNNNNNNNNNNNNNNNNNNNNNNNNNNNNNNNNNNNNNNNNNNNNNNNNNNNNNNNNNNNNNNNNNNNNNNNNNNNNNNNNNNNNNNNNNNNNNNNNNNNNNNNNNNNNNNNNNNNNNNNNNNNNNNNNNNNNNNNNNNNNNNNNNNNNNNNGGGGGGAUCCAGCAUUUUAUCAGUAAUACAGGGCGCCAACCCCUGGUUACAUUUUCUUUUUAGUAAUACAGAGCGCUAAUCCCUGGUUUCAUUUCCUUUUCAGUAAUACAGGAUGCCAACCCCUGGUUACACCUCUCUUUUAGUAAUACAAGGCACCAACCCUUAGCUACAUCCCUUUUCAGUAAUACAGGGCACCAACCCCUGGUUACAUCCAUUUUCAGUAAUACAGAGCACCAAUCCCUGGUUACAUUUCCUUCUCUGUAAUAUAGGGUGCCAACCCCUGGUUACUUUCUUUCUUCGUAAUACAGGGUACCAACCCCUGGUUAUAUUACCUUACCAGCAUAUGAUACACUAAUCCCUAGUUGUGUUUUCCGACAUAGGGUCACCACUCCCUAGUUGAUGAUAGUUUAGACAUAGGGUCACCACUCCUUAGUCUCUUUGCCAGUACAGGGUACACCAAUCCGUAGUUGUGUUUUUCAAUAUAGGGUACACCACUCCCUAGUUGUGUUUUUCAAUAUAGGGUACACCACUCCCUAGUUGAGUCAAGCUGAAAUGUAUGCUACAUCACUCCCCGGUAUCCUUUCCAGUAAAGGGUACACCAAUCCCUAGUUGUGUUUUCCAACGCAGGGUACACCAAUCCCUAGUUGAUCUGAUCUUAAAUGCAGGGUACGUCACUCUCUAGUAUCUUUGAUAAUCCGCGGUACACUAAUUCCCUGACCACCUUCUUCCAACAUAAGGUAUACCAAUCCUUAGUUGAGACAAAAUUUAGACAAUCAGGGUACUCCAUUCCCAAAGAAUCAUGUUUUCCCAGGGUACACAAAUCCCGACCUUUUAUUGUUUUUAAUAAUGAAGUAGUAUAGAGUUUUUGUUAUAAUAACUUACGAAAUUUUUUCUAGUAAAAACCGGGGCAAAAAAAUUUUGUUCGUUUGUUUGUUUUGGUAUCUGAGCAGGUUUUACCUCGAGGCACAGGGUUCGAGAUGAACAAAAGAAGAAUUCUCAAUCCAGAAUAAAGAAAAGAAAACAAAAGAAGUGAAUCCAAAAUACAGAAGCAAAUAAAAAUAUGUGGAUUGCUCAAGACAUGACUAAAGUCACGAGCAUUGCAUUUCUCGUUUUGUUUAGAAGAAGUCGUAGAAGAAUGAACUAGCACCUGCAGCUAGCAAGCAUCAAGGUUCAAAUUAGAGUCUGCAUGAAGAACAAGUCAAGAUUCAAAAUCAUGUUUUAGAAGACUAAUAAAUAGAAAUAUUGUAACUCAUAGCUCAUAGGUUUGCUUAGUUUC
rnacentral:lncRNA from 1 species